GUCGGCGUCCUUCUUCCUCAACGCGGGGGCAUCGGUCGGGCAGGACUUUGGGGACGACGCGGGCAAUGGGCCGCACUCGUACCUGCAGGCCAACAAGCCUUUCCAUGGGCUCAUGCAGCUCCCCGACCUCCAAGGCAACGGUGCUGGGGGCCCUGGCGCCUCAGGCCCCAGCCUCUUCAACCUGGGUUUCUUUGCUAACAAUGGCAACAGCUCGGGGUCCAGUCACGAGCAUGCAAGCCAGGGGCUCAUGAACAACGACCAGUUCAGUGGCGGGGCAGGUGGAGGCGGUGGCGGCGGGGGCUCGGAGGUAUCGGCGGCGGGGAUUUUUGGCGGCAACUUCGUUGGUGGUGGAGAUCAAGUUCCACCGCCGGGGCUCUACAGUGAUCAAGCCUCCAUGCUGCCGCAGAUGUCGGCGACCGCUCUGCUGCAGAAGGCGGCGCAGAUGGGCGCGACCUCGAGCACCAACGGCGGCGCGGCAUCCAUGUUCCGAGGCUUCGUGGGCUCUUCUUCCCCUCACGUGCGGCCGGCGACGCCGCACAUGGAACAGAGCGACGCGAACCUGAACGACCUGAUGAACUCGCUCGCUGGAGGUGGCGUCGGCGGCGGAGGAAUGUUCGGCGGCGGCAACGGCGCCGUCAGCGCGGGGAUGUUUGACCCCAGGCAGCUGUGCAACAUGGCGGAGCACGAGGUGAAGUUCGGGCAGGGUGGCGGAGACAUGACACGGGACUUCCUUGGCGUCGGCGGAGGCGGCAUCGUGCGCGGGAUAUCGACGCCGAGAGGAGGAGGAGGAGACCACCAGAGCAGCAGCGAUAUGAGCUCCCUGGAGGCCGAGAUGAAGUCGGCCUCGUCCUUCAACGGUGGCAGGAUGCCAUGACCGACCCAUCGGCGGCCAUCGAUCGAGCUUAGACAAGACAUAAGUUCGCGCACAGUAAGCCAGAGACUUGAUCAACAAGCAGAUGCAAUGAGAGGAGUAAGGUCGUCGUUAUAUAGCGUAGCGGCAAACAAAUGCAAGUUAGCAACUGAGUCGCAUGAGUGAGUUCAUGCAAGGGAUAAAGCAAGCUAGCUAGCUAGCUUUCAUCAUCCGAAGGGACCUUGGGUGAGAGAGAAAGGCGUCUUCUUUGACUAAUGGAGUAAGCUAGAGUGCGAGUUGGACGCAUGUGAUGACCCCUUUGCUCGUGGUGGGGGUUGGUGUUCAUGCUGGUCUUGUUCUUGUUGGUUUUCCCUUCCUUGUAGUUGGAUAAUCUUUGUUGGAUUAAGUAUAGUUUCUGGUCAUAGAACCAAUAAGGAUGUUUGUAGCUAGCUUAAUGGGGGCGUGUGAUUUGCAGCUUAAUUAGCACCAUUCCCUCUCCUGCUAUUUUUUAUUUCCUUUUCUCUUGUAGCAAAACAAUAUUCCCCUUACAAUGCCAUUAAUUAUGCUAGCUCAAAUUCAUGCUGUUUUCCUGUGGAUGCAUAUAUAUACUAUAGUCAAGUGUUCUUUCUGCAGUCAACGAUAUGUUGCCAUGUUUUCUUAUUUAUUAGUCUGAAGUCCACCUCGCUUCAUUGAAAUUUGGCUGAUACUGAUGUUGAUUUGUUUUGAGAGAAAAUAUUGUUUCUUCGCUAAAAAGUACACUUCAUUAAAAUUUGGCGGGCUAAUGCUGAUUUGUUGUGAGAGAAAACACUACUUCACUCACUUUCUGUUUGAAGAUCAUAAAACCAUGCAUGUGUACACCUAGCUAGUAUUUCAUAUAUUUUCAGCCAGGAGGAUUGUUAUCAAGAUAGCGUUUAGGGUCUGAAAAAAAUCAAUUUCGUUUUAACAAAGUCAAAUCUUUUAGACCUUAUAAAUAAUUCUAAAUCCAUGUCAAAAUAAGUGUUGUUCUGACUAUGCACUUGCGGCUAUUUUAGGAUGGAGUUCUUUUCCUAGUAUUGAUAUAGUAUACAUGGGUGAAAAAGGUCAUUCACCCGAAUUUUAUGAACAUAUUAAUUAUAAAAAAAUGUUAUGGUGUUUUGGAGGAGUGCUACUUUAAGGUGUUGCGAGAAUUAGGAGAAAUAUUCAUUAUUCUAAGUUACACCAACUAUACUUAGAAAUUAUACCAAAAUAAUCAUUGACCCUGUAGUACAAGUGGUGUAAAAAAUGUAAAUCGAGCAUAAGUUGAUGGUAACCGGAAUUUGGAGGCGUGGAGAGAAGAAUCUUACUCUUUUUCUCUUCCAUGCAAGCCAUUUAGGAGAAGAAAGGGGAAAAAAAUGGGUGCGGUGGAGAGAAAGAUUUCCACCCGGAUACUAUGGGGGGGGGUUGUUUAGUUCUCCUUUGAUCCUAAAAAAUUUUGGGUUUUAGUUCAUUAUUUUACACAAUUGAACUAAACAACAUGUAAAUUUUUUUGGCAAAAUAGUUGUCACUCUCCAUUUUGGAUUUUGGCAUCAAGAGGCUAAAAAGCUCGAAAAAGUCUGAAGAGGCCAUAAUGAGAGUAAUAAAUUCUUCAUUUUGCAUGAAACUAAACAUAACUUUAAAAAAAUAUCAUUUUGUAUUUCAUCAUUGCAAAAUAGUUGACAUUUUAUAUUUUUCAUUCCAUGAAGAACUAAACAACCCUGGGUAGACAAACCCAAACAAAGAUAAGACAAACCCUAACAGAGAUAAAUAAAUUUGUUGUCUAACUAGUUUAGAAGGGGGUGGGUGGCGUAGCUAAGGUUCAUUUUAUACUCUCAUACGUUUUGUACUACUUCACGCUACAUUGUGUUGUUGCACGACAAGUGGAACUCCUAUUAAAUUUACUGCACAUAUGAUACUUGAGUUUUUUUUAACGAACAUAUGAUACUUGCUCUAACUGAUUGGCCACUUUGAUGAAGGACAGCACGAGCUGAUCUCUAGGGCAAAAGAUGCCUUCCUGCUGCCCAUGACUGUCUAUAGCGCUUGACCUAUAUGCACAGCACAUCGUGCUGCGGCUUAGCUUCUCGCUAAGCUCGAGCUUGCUACUGCUUGGUCGUGCUGUCUCUCUACGUUCGACAGAGAGCGAGCGAUAGGAUGUAGCUUUCGAUCGUCUCGUGCAUGCACGCCGGUCUAGCUCAGGCCCUGUUUAGUUCUCUCUCCAAAAUUUUUUCAUCCAUCCCAUCGAAUCUUUGGACACAUGCAUAGAACAUUAAAUGUACAUAAAAAAUAAACUAAUUACACAGUUUGGUUGAAAAUCGCGAGACGAAUCUUUUAAGCCUAGUUACUCCAUGAUUAGCCUUAAGUGCUACAGUAACCCACAUGUGCUAAUGACAGAUUAAUUAUACUUAAUAGAUUUAUCUUUCAGUUUCCUAACGAGCUAUGUAAUUUGUUUUUUUAUUAGUAUCUAAAAACCCCUCCCGACAUCCUUCCGACACAUUCGAUGUGACACCCAAAAAAUUUUCAUCUCCAAUCUAAACAGACCCUCAGGCGCCACACCACGGUAUGGGCCGCCCAAAUCAUUGCAUCCUUCUCAUCAGUAUAUAUAUCAAUCAUUCUCGACUGAAAAUAUUAAUUCAGAUAUUCUAUAUAUUAUUGAAUCCAUAUUGAAUGAAACAUUUGUCUGAAUAAUUCGGUUUACUUUGACACUAGUAAUAAAUACAUCUGCACACUCCAUAUAAUUUCCUCUGUAAACUAUUGGACCUUUCACUAGUAGAGAAAUAGGCACUAGUCUUGGUUCCCAACGCCCAUUAGUCCCGGUUUUGGAAACAGAAUUACACAAUUGGAACUAAAAGUCUCCAUUUUUUAGUCCCGGUUCCUAGAUAUGCUUAUUGGGUAAAAAAGAAGUGCAACUAGUGGAGAUUCGAACUUAAGACCUCUCACUUCAGUCUUACACGUGUUGCGAUCUCAACUCCCACCACACAUCUAAUGUAUAGACAAGAUAUGCUUUCCUUUUAAAUUCACUCUCGAGGCACCUUUAGUCUAGGUUUAAGACACAAACUCAGACUAAAGGUACCAUUAGUCUAGGUUAACCGAGAUUAAAAGUCACACCUUUAGUCUGGGCUCGUACCUCAAACCGAGACUAAAGCCUCCUGCACUAACACGUCUUGGUAAAUGUUACAACCGAGACUAAAAGGUGAAAUUAGUCCCAAUUUCUAUUACAAACUGGGACUAAAGGUCUCAUAUCACCUUCAGUCUCGAUUUGCAGUUUGAAACCAAAACUAAUUCUUUGGCCAUCGAUAGAAAGUCGUUUCUUUGCUGAUGUUUUUUUUAGUAAAUAUGUUAUAGGGGUGUAAACCCGUCUAGAUCCCCUUCAAAAAAAAUUCCUUUCUUCUUACCAAAUAAUUUGGCAGGAGUACUGCAUGCAUAUCAUUUAGGACCCGUUUGGAUGUUUUCAUUUGGGAGGAACUGAAAUGUGCUUUAUGGACUGAGCUAUUUUUGGCUUGGAAUUAGACAUUCUAAAACUUUUUAAAAUUUAGAUAUAAGUAUGUCUUAAAUUCAUGGUGCGAGAGAUAUAAAUAGAUUUAUAGAUCCUCAUCAUUCUAUAUUUCUGCUUUGUAACUUAUAACACCUUCUUCGAUUCGCUCCCCUGCAACAGAAUGCGGCACAUAAUUAUCUUCUCAUGUGGCCAACAACAGUAUACAAGUAUAUUUUGCAUGUGGUUAUAUUAGCUUCAUUGAUUUGUGCCUAAAUUGUUAUUAUUAGAAUGAAUUUCUCUUUUGAGAUUUAUUAGAAUGGAUUUCAGUUCCAAGGAUCAAUCCUGGUUCUUGCUUACAACUCCGUAAACAAAAAAAAAAUCUAAUUCUUUGAUUGAUCAAAGAAUUAGAUUUUUUUUUUGUUUACGGAGUUGUAAGCAAGAACCAGGAACAGUUUUUUUCUUCAACUCCACAAGUAGCUCCACUGAUGUAGUUGAAGUUGUUUUAGAAAAACAAAAAUUGGUAAAAACAACUUUUCAUAGUGAACAAGAGAGUUGGAGCCUUGGUGACAGCUGCUCGCUGAAUGGAUGUAUCGUCUAUUCUAGUAGCAGCAGCUUUAUGACGAUUUUUAGCUCAUCCAGCUCCCACCCUGAGCAGGUUUCAAGAAGCUCCACCUAAGGAGGUGUUUUAUUUUAACUUGUUUGGUAAAAAAAAAACAGCUUCAAACAGCUUUUACUGAACUGUUGGAGAGUUGUGCCAAAUGGAGCUUAUUAUGCCCUGUUUGGUUGCCCCAGUUUUAUUUUUAAUUUACUUCACAAUCGAGUAUUAAAUAUAUAUUAUUUACGACACUAAAAACACAACUAGAUAAUAAUUUACAGACAAAUCUUUUGAGUCUAAUUUAUCCAUAAUUGGACAUAACUGUUAAAUAAAAUAAAAAUACUAUAGCACAUGUUAAACUUUAACACCUCCAAAAUCAAACACCCUUGGAGGGAUGUCUAUACAGGACUCGGAAUAGUAGCUAGGAUCGAGAAGAAAAUUUUGCGGCGGAGGGGAAGACAAGAGCUAGGGCGUGGUUUGGUCAUACUGUAUGGUGGUUGGUACAUACAACUCUCAAUCGAGGCAGGACGACUCAGGAACGGAAUGUUUGGGCCUAACUGCUAGAUUCGCGGUUUGACCGUGGCUCCCUGUGUGGCAGCCACGCAUUUUGUGGAAGAUUUUGGCUCUCCUCUUGGCGGCCGCGCGCGGUGGUUACUGAAAGAGAAUUAUUGUCGGAAUGAAGUCGUCCGUACCUGCCUGCUGCAGCGUUGCGUUGACGGCGACGGCGGCGAGGCCAACAGCCAUGGCCGACAGGGACAGCUGCCGGCCGUAAAAGGCCACUAGUAGCUCUCGCGAUCUCGCCCGCAAAAGCGGCUGCGAUAUCCGAUUUUCCAAUGAUUCUUGGGAGGAAAGGGGAAAAGCAGGCAGGGCCGCGCGCGGCCGGGCCAGAGCAUGCAAAGCAUGAUGCUGAUGCGCCCGCCCGCGAUCAGCUGCUAGCCUUCACUUUUGUCUCGUGUGCUGUCCGUGAUCUGACGAUCGAUGAUGAUGAUGAUGAUGAUGAGAUUGAGCGUCAAGAAAAAGAUAGAUUGGUCACAAGUACAAUUGUUCCCUGGAAAGCCAAGCAAAAAGGUGAGAAUUAUUGGAGGGCGGAUGGAAGCUGCAGGGACAGAGCAUGCAUGCAUGCAUGGGUUUGUGAAUGCCUAAAAUUAAAGCAGCUACAGCUAGUAGUAGUCGUCAAGGAAGAUCUCAUAGUUAGUGGACUAGCAGUACGUUCACAUCAGAGAGGUUGGAGAGCUACUUACUAGUCGAUGCAAUACUGCCCUAAAGAUUUACAUAUAUGCACGAAUUUUGGUAAAAUCAACCUAGGCCACCUGUACUGUUUGAUACUUUAGCGGCAUCUGAUAGAGAUUAAUUAGUAUUGCCCCCACGUGACCGCUGUUACAGAGACGCGCAGAGCAAUGUACUGCGCCAAAAAAAUAAACAAAAUCAUCUCUAUAUAUGUGUGUGUGUGUGUCUGUCUAUCCAGCUCGAUUUAGAAUUGAACAAGGUAGCAACCAGCCAUGAGGAGGAUCUGACCAAUGUCCGCACGUGAGCUGAGCAAGAUAACUCUGACGCUUUUUAUCAGCAGCGCUCUUCCUUCCUUUUUAAUUGGCCGGCCGGGCUCCGAGACCUGGAGAAUCUCUGCAUUUACUAAUCGCUCCGACUGUCGCAAAAACGUGGGGAGGGGAGAUCGACGACGCAGAUGCUGCUGAUGCUGAUGCAGAUGCAGAUGCAGCACACCACACGGGAUGCUUGCUGCAAAGGUUAACCAUCCUGGGAACUCCUGCUCCCCGAUGAUCAGCGGUCUCCUUGCAAAGCAAGGACACAGUGCAAGCCUGACACGUAUAUAUGUACGGUGCGGGAUCUAUAUACUACUAUUACUCGUAUACUGUGUCAUGACCGGACCAACACGGUGCUGCGGCGUACGCUAAACUAGUAGGCUAGACUAGACAGAGUAGAAUAAUUAUUGUUAAUUAGGAGGGAGUACAAGAUUAGGCGCGCAGCGAAUCGGGGCGAUUUUGUUUAGGCGUGAAGGGUUAGUUGGGACGCGAUGCCGGGGUUUUGUUUGUAGCGUCGUCGCGGCGCGUUUGGCAUGUCCGGUGAAGAACCUUCGCCCGCGGGGGCGGGGCGCAUGCAGGCAAGCAUCAUGUCGCCCAAGGUCACGGGCGCAUCGUUUGGUUUCCGCGCGAGCGCGAGCGCGAGCGAAGAAUCCUAUGCAGCACGCGACGGCGAUGCGAUUGCGAAUGUCACGAUGCUGGGCUGCCUGUGCCGCCUGGCCUGAUGCUGAUUGCACGCCGUGCCCGCGCUCCUCUUGAUGCGUGCAUUUGGAGCCUAGCUACAGCUUUUCGGUCGCAAUCAUGUGUACGUACGCGGCUGUAGCUGUUGCCCUGCAGUGUGUCCCUGACUCCCCUUGGCGUACGUGGCACGCCGCACGCGAGCGAGCGUGCGUGCGCACGUACGUACGUACGUAGCUAGCUGAUCGGUGUUUCGGCAUGCUUCUUUUUUUUUUUUACCCCGUGGUAGAUUCGGAGAUCAGGGCGGCUAGCCCAGAGCUGUGUGGACUGUGGUGAGGUUCAGAAGUCACAAGUCACAACGUGGCACGGACUCGUACGGUUUUCGUGUUUGCAGUUGGUACGUGCUUGGUGUUGAAUCUCGUGAAUAGAGAGAGAGAGAGGGGGCCGGGUACAGCGAUUUUGCAAUCAGCAAACAGCUAGCUGCCUGCCCUUGCUGCAGCCGGUUCAUGCACAAGAUCGACAGUGGCCUGGCCUCCCCCGGCGGCCCGGCCCCAGUCGAUGGUGACGAUGACAGUAUUGGCCUCCCGGGGAGCAGAGUGAACGCCGGGUAUUGAAACAGUAUUGACUGGGCAAAAAUCUGACGUUUCCACGGAGAUUCCACGCACCGCGCAGGCACAGUUGCCGACUUGCCGUGCCAUCACAUUCACGCUCCUGUUCCGAGGUCCACCUCCACGAACGAGGAAGCAGGGAGCAGCAGCGCACGGCCACCGGCUUUGGUGGAUGCGGGGCCUUUGGUUUGGUUGCUGGCAUCGUAUCGCAUCACAUCGCAGCGACCUCCAAGCCCGUGGGCUGCGCGGCCCACUCCUGAUCGCGGGGGUUUCAAGCGCGUUCUUGGUGUCGCUAACGUCCACUUCUUGGGCCUCAACCGCCUCGCCCUCGUCCGUCCGCGCCUGUGUGUCCCCCGGACCCGGCAGCGCGGCAGCUGCGUAGGGCGUCAUGGCGCUUUUGAGUUUUCCACCGCUCGGCGUUGCUCUCCUCCGUGCCCACGACACCGGAGGAGGCACAGCGUUUGCGACGCGAAGGUUCGUUUCUUCUGUGAAGGUGGUGUAGAGUCCAGUCCAGCAAAUGGAAGCUACAAUAAAAAGGUAGAGCAAAGAGAUGUUCCAUACCCAUACUGCCAUGCGAGCUGAAACAAAGCAUCGGUGUGUUCUCAUCGGUUCAGGACGUACGUUACUGGUUGUUGGUGGCUAGAUCUUGAGCUCAAGUACCGUAGCGUGUAGUACGACAUACAAGUCAUGUCCGCUGUGCAACUAUCAGAUUCGGUCGGUUGUUCAGGUACAACAGCCGUUGCAAUGGUCCAGUCGACGACCGUGCUGUCGCUCCUUUUUGUUUUCGAUUUCACUGUUGCACGACCGUGCAGGCCCGGGAGUACCGAUGUGAUAGCACAGAGCCCAGCCCAACUGAAAAAGCAGCCAGUAAGUACCCUGCUCAAACGGGCCUUGGUACAUUGGGCACGUGAAAAGCGGGCAGUACCCUGCUUAAAGGAAAAGCAGGGUACAAUCAAGUCCAGAGUGCAGCCCAACUGAGACAAAUGCCGUGAAUGUGGAUGCGCCCGCGGCCCGCGCUUUCUGAUGUGCAGAGAGCAGCACGUCCGGGUCUGCACUGCGGAGAUUGACGAUGCAAACUGGGCACUGGCAACUGGCAGCAGGUUCACGAGCAUCCAUGCUUCUGAUGCGGGAUCGGCUUGGGGCUUCUGAAUCCAAACCCGAACUCUCUAGAGACUUGCUCAGAUGAACGUGGCUUGACGGCUAUGGAACUGACCCUCCGAGCUCCUGCCUAAGUUGCAACUGACCCCGUCCAUUCAAUAAAUGGUACUUUCAAUCAUAAUCAUAGCUUUUCAGUCAUGCGAACAAGCAAACCGAAGCCAAGCUUCGUUAUGUUCAUGAAUUUUCAGUCAAGCGAACAAGCAAACCAAAGCCAGGCUUCGUUAUGUUCAGCACGCAUUCAGCAUCCUCGCGUGCCGAGUCCACCACAGCCAGGCUUCGUUAGGUUUGAUAGCAUGGUAACAAAAGUACCCAAGAAACUAGCUGCCAUGAUCAUCGGAGAAUCAAAGCCUCACAAAAACAAUUAGGUUCGUCAUAACAUACACUAAGAUUGGCUGGUUACAACUUGCAACAAAUAGUUCACACAUCACAGUACUAAAGCUCCUCGAACUGCAGCGUCACAACAUCACGAAUACAAAACAAGCGUACAUAAAAUCCCCAGAUCACUUGAAUGAACUGGAAGUCUUAAUGCAUAAAUUCAGUGUCCGAUAGUAUCACCGAAACAGUGCGGAUACAUGGAAUACUCCAGGAUUCCUUGGUGAAUGCAGCUCAGCAGUAAAACAUGACACGCUUCACGUUUUCCUUGAGAGCGGGUAGGGGCCUGACCGCAACACUCCCGGCCCCUCUGAUGCCGCGUGCCCCACCUGGUGGAGGCCCACGGGCCCCACUGGCCAUUGACCCACUGUCAGAGGUAUCUGGCUCCAUGUAGAAGCGAGCUCGGAAGGCUGCCAGAUGAGCAUAGUAUGCCGGGGGCACUGCAAUCAAUAAAGCAAAGGUCAACAAUUUGUUUUAUGGAGUAGCACCGCAAUGGGUUGCCAGAGUAGACAAGAGACUGUGUUCUCAAGCUGGGCUUACCAAUUGACACGGAGCGAGUGCACCUAGCGUACCUGCAAAAGUGGAAACAAUGUUUAACAGGCAGUUGAAGAGGGCACGGGAAAUAAUUGAUCGAUGGAGCAGUAGAUGUAUUACGUGUAGCACAGGUUGUUUGUCAGAGUCUGCAGCUCAUCAGCUGUAAACUUGUUCUCAUCCCACAGGACAUGGUAAUGAGCAGGGCGGCUUGUUCCCUAAUGGACGUGAAAUUGCAGUCAGUAAUCAGCCUGUUUCAUCGAAGGAUGAAUUGAAAAGGGGAAUGAAAAAAACUAACCUGAAUGCCGGCAUGGCUACACAGGUAGAAAUCAAAUUCCGUAGGAUGGCAAAUCUUGGAAUCAACCACGGUGCCUAAAUUCAGAUGAAAAGAUAGUAUCUGGUCAGAUCCAAAUAACCAAAUUAGACAUGCUAAGCCCAAAAAGAUGGAGAGCACCAAGAACUAACCAGGCAGUAUGUUUCCACUUCUAUCAACUGUACGCUGGUCAUUGUGGUUAUUAGCAAACAGCCUAGUGUGAUGUCGCUUCUGGACCACGACAAAAGUAACUGGAGGCUGGUAAUUGGGCUCCAGGGAUGCACAGGCCUAUUUCCAUGGUACCGAGAGGAUAGUCAAGAAAAGAAGAAAAACAACAUCAAACGAAUGGUAUGUAAUUACAUGUACCUUUCUGAUGGCAUCAAGUUCAUACAACAAUACUUGAUAGAACUGUCCCUCACUGACACCAUCCCUGAAAUCCAGAACUGCUUAGUAUAUUGAGAAACAGAUCAGUAAAGUUGACCAAUCAAGGAUAAUAACCUGUAGAAUAUGAUCCUUUGGGGCUUCUGUCCAGUUGCCCUCUUGAAAGAAAUGAGAAGUUCCCUGCAAUAAAAAGAAUUUAAGCAUAAAGCAGAAUCCAAAGAUGGAGAACUGUGAAUAAAUCGCAUCAUCUCAAUUGGGAUCAUACUUUAUCAUGCCACCAGUUACUGUCCUUCUCUGUGGGUCUUGCCAUACUUUGAAAAGAUCCUGUAUCAGCUCCUGGCGAUGAGCUUGGGCACUCACUAGUCCAGCAUAUUUGGUGACCUCAGGCCAGUCUUGUGAAGCAACAACCUAGGAAGGAACAAUAUUGUAAGAAUUAAAAAGUGAAAUCUGUCGUUUAGACUAUGUGAACUUCUGGCCUGUUAUAAUUGCAACAAGUACUGCACUUACAGCUGCAAUGGAAGGACUGGAAUCUUCUCCAGGAUGUGGAUGGGUAACAUCAGCACCAAAUAUUAUGGUCGGCCUGUCACUGACAAGGGGGAUUCUCCUUGUCAAAGCAUCUACAAGUACAGUAUUCCUUCCCCCAACCUGAAGAGGUAGGAAAACUGUGAGAAAACUAACGAUUCAUGAGUGACUUAAGGAUGGAAGUGUGGAGAGAUUUUACCUUAACAUUUAUUUUGAGUGCAACAUUUGCAAGAUACUGCUUGCUCAUCUUAAAAACAUGUUUAGUCAGACAACACUGGGAGACCAAUCCAAGAUCAGUCUCACAGAUCCUUUUGAGAUCCCCUGAGAAAUGAAAAGAAUGAUGAUGACCAAAUGUAUUCAGCAGACAAUGUUCAAGUGUGUUUUGGAAGAGAACAUUACCAUAAAGAGAACCAUUAUUGUCAGGCAGUAUUACAAUCAGCAGAUCGAGUUCCCUGCCCUGUGGCCUCAAUACGUUCAUUGCAUCUUGAUAACGGGCCUUUAACGCCCUUUCAACAUGUUCAGGUCUUGCAGUCACUGGAGCGAGCACAGGCUCAAGAGCAAAAUCCUAAAGGGAAAGAAAACACGUAGAGUAAAUAACAAAAAUAGCCAAAGGAUAUUGCAGACAAAUGAUAAUUGAAGGGAAAAGACUUACCAUUCCUGAUAUUUGGCACAUGACUGCAAGCUCGUGACAGAAACCCCUAGCAGCACUAUCUUGCACAUUCCGAGAGAAGUUAAUACAUGCCCAGUUGCUGACUCUGCCACCAUUAACCAUUUUCUUCCAAGAAAAAGAAGGCAGCCAAAGAACAAUAGACAUGAAAGUUAUGACUCAUGAGAUUGUUAAAUUAAUCAACAAAAAGGGAGCAUGCAGACAGAAGGCAAGCUAAACUUAGAAAACAGUGCAUUUAGAUUCAGGGGUGACACCACAUUCAUCUAUUGUGGUGCACUGGCACCAUUGAUUGAAAAAAUGUGCAGUAUUAGGUGACCUGUUUAGACCUUGCUAAUGAGCUCGAAAUGGCAAUGUUACUACAAGGUGUGCACCACCAUAAAUUCUGUUCUAGCUUCACCCUUGUCUAGAUUACAGCAAUGUCAAAUCAUAAUCCAAAUGUAUUUCAUAAAAGAUGGUUCUUGAUAGAACUUUUUUUGUGGACUUAUUGGUAGAUCUUUCUGAGUACAUAAUGCAAAAUCAAUCCCUCCAAAAAAAAUUCCAUGGCAAGCUUGGUAGAUCCUAGAAUUUUGAGGUAAGGAGAUAGCAAAAAGGGAUGCCUAACAAAAAAAAGAAGAAAUUAAGUACCACGUAACAAUAAACUCAGUAAUAGUUAGGGUUAUGUAACUUGGACAAACAAACUUAUAUGCUGAGGCAGCUAAUCUCCCAGUUGCUAGGUUAACUUAUUUUUCUUUUUCUUUUUUUUUUGCAAAAUAUAGUACUUAUUUAAUUUGGAUGGUCCUCACCUAAUAUUACCAUAUAAGAAAAUUAAUUGCGUUCGAAAAAAUCACAGGAAGAGCGACUUUAUCUAGAUUUCUCAGGACACAGGCAUACCUUAUUCAUCAUGUUCCAUUGGCCAACUCUGGGCAAAACAUCCUUCUCUCGGCCACUAUCAUGGUAUUUAAGCUAAUUACAAAAUGCACAAAUUCUACGUCAGCAGCCAUGCAGCAUAUGCGCAAAUACGGAAAAAAAAUGCCAAGAUGUUGUUAGAGGUCAUGUUUGUUCGCUUACCCUUGGUGGUGGCAGAACACGAGCUUCAACUGCUGCAAGACGUUCAUCAAUUCUUAUGCCAAAUUCCUGUGCAUAUGGGUCUUCAUAGUAUGCAUUGUGAUGCACAGUCUGAUAAAAGGCAAAAUAAGGAACUGAGUCAGAAUCAUAAAUUCAGCUGACUGACUUUGGUAAAUACAAAACAAAUAAAACCUCUGUACCAUAUUAUGUUUAAACAUUACACAGUAUUCUGAAAAAAACAGAUGGCGCUAUUUAUCAGCUGUUGAAUAAUUUGCUGCUGGUCUUGCACAGGAGUCAAGACUGUAGCUUGGUGACUAGAAAUCUGAAAUUGCAGAGCAACUUUGAAAGACAGUUCAAGCUGUAGUGGGAACACUUGACUAGGAGUAGUGAGGACACAGAUUUUUGGUAGGCCAUUGUGUCCUUAGCCUAGGAUAGUAGACUUUGACUGCAGUACACCAGCGCACCUUCACUAGUUUCAGUUCAUACACAAACUGAACCUACAGCUUUGUGUAUAUAAGUGCAGCCCUAGUAAUGUAUUUUUCAGUUCAGUUGAACCUUGGCCAACGCUAGAGUUUCUGCAGUGUAUGUGUGUGUGUGCUGUUCUCACCCCUUCUUCUACCUCUAGCCAUAGUGAGAGUGUGUGUGUGUGCGUGCGCGCGCAGGCGUGCACGUGCUGGUAAGCUUGCUGCUUUACCUGUGCAGGAAUCCUAGGCACCAACAAGUGGUAUCGGAGCCGUACAACUGCAUCGCCGGACUAACCGCCGGCGAUGGCACCUAGCUCGGAGACGGCUGACAGCAGCAGUGCUGCUGGGGCUGCCCAGACACGACAGAAGGUCGUUGUGCGCACCGUGCGGGAGGUCAGCGGCACAAGUUGGUCGAUGCUGACUCACACCAACUAUGGCGAGUGGGCGGUGACCAUGAAGGUAAAGCUCAGAGCCCGACGGCUCUAGAAUGCCAUCGACAAAGGCACCGACAAUGAAGAAGACGACAUGUCAGCGAUGGAGGCUAUCCUCGCUGCUGUGCUGACAGAGUACAGCGUUGGGGGCGAAGAAGACUGCUAAGGAGGCGUGGGAGGCCAUUGCUGCGAUGUGCGUCAGCUCUGAUCACGCAAAGAAGGCGACGUUCCAGCUGCUGAAGUAGGAGUCUGAAGUACAUCCGAAUUGCUCUCUCCAUAGAGACAAUGUUGGACCUGUCCACCCUCACUAUUGAGGAUGUGACCGGCUGUCUGCGGGCGGUGGACGAGCGCAUGGAACUGGUCACAGCAACGACGGACAGCGGCAAGCUGCUGUUUACAAAGGAGGAGUGGGCUGCCCGGAUGAAGGAGAAGAAGUCCGGGGAAGCCUCCAGCUGCGGUGGCGAUGGCAAGCAUGGCAAGGCUUCUUCAGAGAAGAAGAAGAUUGACCCCAACGCCUAUAGGCGCUGCGGGAAGACAGGCCAUUGGGCAAAGGAGUUCCCAAAUCGCAAGCAGGAGAAGGCGGAAGCUCACCCGCCAGCCCUAAUGGUGGACAAUCAGCCCGCCAUCGCCCUUGCAAAGAAUCCAGUCCUCCACGACCGCAGCAAGCACAUCGACACUCGUUUUCACUUCGUCCGUGAUUGUGUUGAAACCGUACGACAGCUCGCAGACAUCCUCACAAGCCACUCGGCCAUCUUCGGUUCAUGGAGCGGAGGACCAAGAUUGGAAUGGUGGAAAUCAGGCAAGAGCAGCAAGUUUAGGGGAAGAAUUGUUGAAUAAUUUGCAAGAGCAGCAAGAUUAGGGCAAGAUUAGGAGUCAAGACUGUAGCUUUGUGACUAGAAAUCAGAAACUGCAGAUCAACUUGACUAGGAGUAGUGAGGACACAGAUUUUUGGUAGGCCAUUGUGUCCUUAGCUAAUAAGUAUUGCAGGCUUAUCCUGCAUCUAGGAUAGUAGACUUUGACUGCAGUACAACAGCCCACCUUCACUAGUUUCAGUUCAUACACAAACUGAACCUAAACCUUUGUGUAUAUAAGUGCAGCCCUAGUAAUGUAUUUUUCAGUUCAGUUGCCACAACCACAAGGGCAGAACCUUGGCCAACGCUAGAGUUUUUGCAGUGUAUGUGUGUGUGCUGUUCUCACCCCUUCUUCUACCUCUAGGCAUAGUGAGUGAGUAGGGACCAACAUCAGCACAGUACAAUUUACACAAACAUUUUAAUAAUCAAACAACUGUUGCAGAUACCCUGUUACCAAUCCCAGAGAGCCAGAGAUCAUUUUAGAUGCACAGGCAAAUAUAUAAUCAUGUUAAUUGUUAACAAAAGACAAGAGGGCACCCUAAACCCUGAAGAAUGCACAGGCAAAUGUGUAAACAGGGCUUCCAAAGCUAAAAGGCUUGAAAACUGCUAACCACAGGCUAUAAACUAAACAUGGUUAAACAUUUGAAUUCAUAAGAUGUAUACACUGAUGAAAUAACUUAUACAAAAACAUACGAUAAACAGCCACCUGUAAGAUGUCCAGCUCACGCUCUUGAGGGCGCUGGCAGGUCACUUUCAGUAGAGCAGUGAUUUGCUUCUCAUUGAGUCGCUUUGAGUAGCGCUGUCCUUCAACUAUUUUGCAAACCUGAAAUUUCACAUUUCAAAGCCAUAAGCAUAAUACUGAAGCUGGAUGUAGCAUUCAGAGACCAUUCAAAUAGAUAAGCACAAUAUAAGAAAUCCAAGUUCAGCGGAUACAGUCGAAGACACAAACCUCCAUUGGAAGAUAAUUUGGUCUUUGUUGAUUGCCCACUUGCAAGCACGGUAAAGUGGUGUGCUGGAUACUAAAACCAUAAGUCUCCAUGAAGUAUUGCACCACAGUCUUCACAGUACCGCGAUCAUCAACAGGGAAUCUAUCCCAAAGAAACCAAAAAAUCAUGUCACUGCACUAUUCUUUAAGCUAUUAGCUCAUACCAGCAAUGGAAGACACAUACGAUAGCUCUCUUGUUGCUUGUGAGGUUAGGCCAGAAAUGCGAUAUUUUCUGCGCAUGUUUCCCCUGUGAGUGACCUCGACCUUCACACCUCUUAGGGCUUUUUUGAUCUACAGAGGAACAAACAACAGUAACUCAACACGAACUAGCAUAAACCAAAGUUGCUAUCAAAUAGGUAAGGUAAUGAUAAUGAUUCGAACCUUCACACGAUCAGAAUCAGACAAUGGUCUAACUGAGAUAUCUCUGUUAAGAAGCUGAGCAACAAAAUCGAUCACAGGGAGAGGCUCGAUAAAUGCGGUAGAGGACAUAUCUGCAAGAGCACAAAUCAAAGGCUAAGAAAAGACCAGUACUGAUUUCAUAAACUACACUGGGAGUCCAUAGAAUUAGAAUUUAGUUACAAUACGCCAUGGAUCAUGUGUGGCAACUGAAAGAUAAACAAUGAAACAAAAAGGUUAAAGUGACAGUAUCUAACCAAUAUUCAGUGAAAGGCCCAUCUGUGUCGGCCUUAUGCUUUGGUAAAAGCCACGCCAACUUUCCAGACCCUCACCAAGUUGCUGGCGUCUCCCUAAGUUGGGAGAAUAAAAUGACCUACCAACAGGAGAAUACCUGAACAAGAAAAAUGUAAGGCAAUGAAGACUCUGACUUUUGUGGCAUGGAAAAAGCAACUAAUAAAUAUACAAUCACCUCGCAGUAGGCAAUUCACGUAGUACAAUGUCAAGCACUUGAAGAGCUUCUUGAGGAGCAUCCGCUUGCCUUCCAGCUAGAAACAUAGCCAGAUGGUGGAGAUCAGCACGGGCCGCAAAUUUGAUCACCACCCUAAAUACUCUCUCGCGCCUUGAACAGGAAGGAUUACAGCAGUCAGCAUGAAAUGUUGCAUAUAUGUUCUAAAUACAGACACAGCAUAAUGACAUACCUUUGUCCACCUUGGCCACCACCAAGACUAUCUUCCUCAUCUUGCAACGUAAUUUCAAAUGUCAUAGAAGUAAAUGGCAAUGGUCCAGCGGUAUAAAGGCUCUUUCUUCCAUCAUACGCAGGUAGACGCCCACCCAAAUGGGAAAUUCUAUAUAGUCUUACAAGCUCUCCCAUGACAGCACGAUUAACACCACGUGAAGUAACCUCAGGUGUUAUAGAUACCUGAUGGCAAACGAUUGGUGAACAGAAAUAACAACAUAAGAAAAAACUGACAUGAAAUUAUUCCCUACGAGGAGCUUACAUCAUAUUGGUGAAGGUCUUUGUCAGGAAGCUCAGCAAAGAAAUGAUUUGCCUUCACAAUGCACCUGUCCCCAUAAGUGCCCUUGCCAGGGCGCAAUGGGAAUCGAACCGAUUUGCUUGAUGCUGGUGCCACUUGAAUUUCUUGGCUCGUGGAAGACUGACCACGAAUGGCAAGUUGCUGAAACUGUUGCUGGACUUGUCCAGAGCUCACCUCUGCCACAGGCUGUGAGGAUGAGCCAGGUCCCGAUGGGGAUUGUGAAACCACCGGGGCUUGAUACUGGACAUAAGGGGCUUGGUGCAGCUCGGGAACUGUUCUAGAAGGACCUGGAGGAACAUUUCGUCCAACAUUACCUCCCCUAUGCCCACCAUAGUAUGGCUGUGGCAUUCCACCUCUGGAGCGGGCGCCACCACGUCCCUGGUACUCACCACCUCGUCCCUGAUAUUCACCGCCACGUCCCUGGUAUUCACGCGGGUGAUACUCAGGGGGCCCACCACCAGGGUGAUGUGACCCAGGUCCUCCGCGGCCCUGAUAAUGUCCACCACGACCCUGGUGUUGCCCGCCACCACGACCACCCUGUUGAGGCACCCAGCCACGUCCUCCCCCAGGUUGUUGAGUUCGCUCAGGCCGCUGUGAAGAACCUUGUCCAGAACCUCCUGAAGACUCUCCAGAAGUUUCUCCAGAGCCACCAGGGCCAGUUCUCUUCUUCCUCACCAUGAUGGGCACUGGCAUGAUAGGAAUACAUCAAGAGUGAGAUUGUAAAAAUACCAUGGAAAAAAUAGCCCGCUAUUUUUGCCGCUAUAGCCCGAAAUAGCUUGAAAAAAAUUAUGUCGCUAUUUGUAUUCAUGUACAAUUUUGCCACUAUUUUACCGCUAAAGUACGCUAAUUACGGUAUAUAAAACGCUAAACACCUUGGCCUUAGCUCGCUAUUUAAAACAUGGUAAAAAUAUAAUAAUUUAUCAAAACUUAACAUGAAGAAAACUGUUUAACUGCGUAUUUGUUAAAAAAUAGAGACAGAAGGUUGUAUAAUGAGAACUGAAACAGCUUAGAGAGUAAAGAAACUGUAAAUGAACUCAAAUAGAAGAUCAGCUUCAUCAAGGAAUUGCUAAAAUAAUAAAUAGAAAAUUUCUGAAUUACAGCUUGACAGCAUGAUGGAAACUAUUCCCGUGAGAAAAUAGACCAAGUACCAGAAGGCAGUGAACAAGAAAAACCAUGUAGGCAUAGAAGAAAGGGAAUGCCAUCUCACAAGUAUUAGGAAACAAGACUUAUUAUGUUUUUAUUGAAUUUAACAUUCCUUCAUUUUGAUUAUUAUUUCACCGCUUGUGGUUGGCUGCAAACUUCUAUUUAAACCAAAAGAGGCCAAGUAGAAGGUGAGGAAAAUGUGAGAAAGAACAUAUCAAAAAAGAAGCGCUCCAUCCAUACUCCAUAGGUGUCCUCUAGAUAUCAACUAUUUUAUUCGUUUAAUAACAAUAUCCUAAAAUAAAUAUACAGACAACAAGUAAACAAAAUCAACCAGUCACCCUUUCUAUAAUAGUAAAAAAGAAUUAUCCUAGCAUUUUCAUUCAAAAGGAUGCCAGAAGAAAUGUAUGAAUGAGAAACAUGUAGCACUGAAGUUGCUAAAAGAUACCCAUUUCAUCUAUACAAACAAAAUGAUCAGUAUCCUACUGCUAAAGGCCUGUCUUAUGUGGCCUUCUGAAAGCUUGUUUUAGCAGGGACCUUUUCUAGUCUCCACUGUUCAAUACAAUCCCAAUGCCUUGAGAUAACAUCAAACACUUCGGUAACCAUUGAAGGAACAUGAUUUUUUUUUCACAAUGCCGUGCUGCAUCCUUGAGUGUAGGAAACUCUAUGCUAGAACUUGUAAUCAAGUCCGAGAGCAAACGAUAAGUGAGAACAACAAACAUUAGGCAUAAAAAUAUGCCUAGAACACAUCCGCAAUCAUAGCCAAGGCUGCGGUUAGAAUCAUCACAAUGUGAUGCACUAAAAAGAACCCUCGUUUGUUAGCCAGAUACAAAGACAACAACAAAAAAAUAUAUCACCCUAAACCCAAUAACCAGAGAUGGAUACCAAGGCACAGGAGUGAAAAUACACAUAAACGGAGUGAACCUUACCCUAACGUAGAGGCAAAUAACCAUACAAGCAUGUAGCCAGUAGGGGAGGUACUGCUAUAUCAGUAAUUUCUAGAUAUAUGCUGAGGUUUUAACGAAGUAAUCAGUUCACCCGCAUAUGAGCACUGGACACCUGAAAGAACAGAUGUUCCUUUAUCUCAGAAAGCAAUUACCCCCCCCCCCCCCCCCCGGUUUCCACACUAAGCGCUUAGCUUAGAUGGACAAGCUAAAAUGAUCACAAAAACAGCCGCAAAUCGUCAAGCUCUCGUUGGAUCAGCUCACAACCAGGUAGAACCGGACAAAUAACCCGACAGACCCCACAAAAUCCACGAGCGCCCCCUCGAGCUCGUUCAUUUCAAGCACCAACACCGCCGCAACAAAGCAACCCAACCCCGGAAACGAUCGAACGCUGAAGCUACACCCCGCGCACUGAGGAAGCAGGCGAAAAGCAGCAGAUCUAGCGGAUUACGGGAGGGAGCGAUACCUGAGCAGGCUCGGCAGACGGCUGCUGCGCGGGAUGGCAACGGAGCGGGAGUGCUAAGCUCCCGCCUCCACUAAUGGCGCUCUCUACUGCCUCAGCGAAGCUGCUGUGCUGGGUGCUCCACUACUUGCCCACGACCACCACCACCACCACCACCUCCACCUCUCCGCCUUUUUUUGAGGAGGGGGAGGGGGAAGGCGACGGCCGCUUGUGGUUAAUUAGCGGCAGCGGCAGUGCGGGUGCGGCUCACUGGAGAAAGCGCCGAAGCGAGGGCAGCGGCUGCGGCAGCCGGCAGGGCUGGGUGCCCGUGUCAGGGUCACGGUCAGGUCGCGGGGCGGGUCGCGUCGCCGUGGACACGGGGACCCGUUCGGAGUGGGAUUAGUACUAGUACUGGAGAACGUGGGACGGACGCCACUGACGGCGUGGGGCCGAGGCGGCCAAGGACACCUCGGGCGCGACGCCACCGAUGGGAUUAGUGGGGCUAAUCAAGCGUUUUAGGCGCAAAAGACAGGAGAGGACGGGUGUCAGGAGUGGAUUAUCGUGCCCUCCUCGCCAUGUUAUCGCCCAGGGCCCAAAGACGUUUCGGUUGCUGAUUGGAUCGCCUCGCUCUCGUGUCCCGUCCGCAGAACUACGCGAUCAUACCGAAGCAUGAGACCGAGAGUGAAAUACUACGUAGUACCGGCCACCGAUGCACAGGCGUCAGAGCGUACGGCAUGAACCAAAGUAACAAACGAUCACGGAUCCAUCAAUGACCGUGAGUUGCCAACGGCGAACGCAGCUGUGCUUUGUAACGUGGGCACGGUGGUGGUUCGGCGGUGGCGGGUCGCUGUCAAUGCAGUCCCGUUUCGGCUAAGCCGUCCAGACCCGUAAGAGGCAAGAGGACGAGUCAAACGGGCGGGCGCCUCUCGAUGCUCGCAACAGCCAUGAGGUCAUCCGCAAUGGUUAUGCUAAGAGGAAUUCUAUUGGCUCUCAAUAGCACUUUACGAAUAGCUAGCGAGAUGAUAUAUAAAAAUAAUAAAAAAGUAGUACUCUUAUUGGCUAUCGAGAAGAGAGAUCAAAUAGCUAACGACUUCCUAAUAGCUAGCGACACAUAAAUAGCUAAUCUAGCAUAAUCUUCUAGAAAUAACUCUCUCACAAUACUCUCCACAAUAGUUAGUGACUUCCUAAUAGCUAGCGACUUCUUAAGCUAGCUAUUUCCAAAUUGCCAUUGAGAACCAAUAAUAUUCUUUCUAGAGACUAAAUAGCUAGUGAUUUGAACACCAUUGCAGACGUCCUUAGCCUGCAGUAGUAGUAGCAUUUGCUAUUGCUAUUGCUAUCGCACCCAACGUGCAACGAGCACAGCUGCACAGGCCUACUGCUGCUACUACGGCCACCCUACCGGAUCAAUGGCUGAGAUCGGUUCCGCAUACGGGGCGCACGAGCCAGUGCGUGGGCCACCGCUAGACUGUUCAAAAUCGCUGGCCCACCGGCUACCGUCCGGCCCCCAGGCGAUGACACGACGACCCCACUGGCCGCGCGGGCCCAGCGCGCAGCGAGUCGGGUGCCAGUACAGCGCGUCGCGCAAGUUGCCCGCUGGAUCGAGUAGGAGGAGUACUUGGAUAGGACGCAGUGGGCCCCGGCCGCGAUGGCGGGUCGUACUGGACGCGCGACCAGCCGUUGCUCUGCUGGGCCCGCGACCCGAUGACGGGGACGGUCAUGGAGCCCGCGGUACGGGCAAGGGGCCCUUUCGCUUUCGCGUCCAGGCUGCCCAGUGGGCUGCCUCGGGCCUCACGACCAGAAUGACACAACCGGCCGCGGGCCUUCUCCAAAGCCUGCACGGGACGGCGAGACGGAGACACAGGCACACAGACACAGCACAGCAGCGGCGCUCUAGCCUCUACUUCUACUCCUACUAGGCCUUGUUUAGUUCCCAAAAAAUUUUGCAAAAUUUUUCAGAUUUUCCGUCACAUCGAAUCUUUAGAUACAUGCAUGGAAUAUUAAAUAUAGACGAAAAUAAAAACUAAUUGCAUAGUUUGGUCGGAAUUGAUGAGAUGAAUCUUUUGAACCUAGUUAGUACAUAAUUGAACAAUAUUUAUCACAAACAAACGAAAGUGCUACAGUACCUGUUUUGUAAAAAAAUUUGGAACUAAACAAGGCCUAGGUGGCGCUCGCAGACGCAGGGUUGCAGGAAUCGACGAGCCGUAUAGUGGCGCCAGUGUUGCUAUCUAGGUACUGCGUAGGAUACAGCGAGUAUCACGUCGAUCGUACUAGGGCACAGUCCCUGGUUUUGUUGGAAGGGGACGAGACAGUUCUUCCUCGUCUCCGUGCUUCAGAGUUCACAUCAAGGGGGGAAGCGGGGCGCACAGUGAAAAGAUUUGCUGGGAUGCAAAAAAAGUAGUGUGGAUCGGUCCUAUAACUGUUAACGUGACUGCGUUUCGAUGUCACCACGAUGUUUGUUGCAAAGCGAUGAAUUCGGUGUUGACGAUGUGUCUAAGAACGACGAACAUCACUACUAGCUGUCACUGACUCACUGCAUUAGCACGUUGCCUUUGCCAUUCACGAGCAAAUAUUGGCAAGUCAUGAAAUAAGACAGUUUGGGUGUCUCUCGAAGCCACUGUUUCUAAAUAAUGAUGACUCCUCUCAUCUUUCACGGAAAGGAGAGGCUAGCCAAUGGAAACAAAGAAAAUGAAGCUUUUUGUCGGGACUUUUAAAUCUAAUAUGUCAAUGUUUUCUCACCUUUUAUACGAGAAAGAAAGGUUACGCGGUGAGAAAAGAAAAUGAAGCUUUAUUCAAAAGAAACAAGCAAGCAUCUUUCCUGCUGCCAUUGUCACAUAUAGCCUUUUCAGAGACUAGCCUCGCUGAUUUUCGUCACGACUUUAGAAUAUUUUAUUAAAGAGUUUUUUUUCAUUUUUAUUGAAUCUUUUGCCUCGUAAACUUCUAUAGUUUUCCUUGAUAAAGUAGGAAGUGCAUGCGCAACACUGGUAGGAGAAAAAAAAAUCAAACAAGGGUGCUGCUACAAUCGUGUGAAAUUGUGUUCAAUGAUAGUGAACGCCCACCCAUAUGCCACUAUGCCAGUGUGUCUCGGUGGAGUUGACGAUUCGAAAAUCGAAUCAAAUUGUCCCAUAUAUCUACAAGGUGAAAUAUUGUUUACUAAAUGGACACCAAUAGCGGACUCAAUGCUCGAAUGGACCCCGAGUAAUAAGGAUCAAGACGCCAAUGACAUUUUGUGUCUUUAACCUUCCAACAAGACGUAAAAGCAAUAAAUUUUUCAAAGUGCAUCGGCGCCAAAGCCCGGAUGAACGCCUAAGUUACCAGGCCCUAAGUCCACCACUGGUGGACAUCGAGGUUCAGUGGAGUUAGAGAAUUUUACGUGGAAAGUGUCCCUUAUGGUUCAAAAAUUAUAUGAAAUUUCCCCUUGUUUGGCGGAAGCAGCAAAGGCGUAUGCUUCAUCACCAAUUCAGGCCGGUCUUUGAUUGUCUUCUGUUGUUGCUUUGUUGGUGUGUCUCGAAGUAGAGGAACAAGCGCACUUUCGAUAACAAGGCUUCUUCGAUCGCCAUGGUGGUUAGGGAUGCUGCACUAGAGGAUGGGUUCAGGCAGGGUUCUCCUGCGUCUCGGCGUUUGCUACACUUUGGUCGCAAAAUCUGGCUGAUUUGUAAUAAACUCAAUUAUGUUCUAGUAGAUAGAUCUGUUACUUUGUUCUUGGCUCCUGCCAAUGGUCUCUCGCCACUGGCCAGGCCUCCCCUUGUACUUGUUCAAUUUUCCACUGCCUCUUAAUGAAACACAGACCGAUUGGUCUCGUUCGCGAAAAAAAAUUCCCUUGUGUAAUGGUCAAAAGGAAAUUAUAAUGAGGACGAUUAUGACUUCGUUUGGAUCUAUUCUAGCUAACUAUUAGCUCAGAAAAAGACCAUCUAACAACUUUUAGUUUGAUAAUGGAUAAGACACUAGCUAAUCUAUUAGAUAUAGAUUUAAAUGGGGUCUCAAAUACUUUUAGCAGCUAACUAUUACUAUUGGAUACAAACACCCUUUAGUUUUUUUUCAGCACCAAUCCAUCCCGAUCCAUAUGAGUUAAGAGGGAUUAAGGUAAAAUAAUCAAAUAAAUUUAACAUUGAUUUAAUUUGGAAUGGAUGAAUUGACAACAUUUUUAAGGAAGAAGAGAUGAAAUGGCCCCAAUACAAUGGCUUAUAUUACCGUGCACUUGCAAUAGUUGUUUCUCCUAUGGUGUGCUUGAUUCUUGGAUAUGGCUACUGGCUGAUACAGAAAUAAAAUUGUUGUAAUCACAACCUUGUAUUAUUUUUUAUCUCAUGCAUCAUAUCUUCACGAAUGCAACCAAACGACAUAUUUUAUUCGCCAAGCUAAUAAGAUACAAUCGACCAAAAAAGUAAACCAUUGCAUUUGUCGAGCCUGAUCCAAUGAAAACUAGCUCAACUGAUGCAAGCCAAACUAGAUCAUAUAAUCAGCUAACUAUAUAUCCUUACAGCCUGAUGGCGAACCAGUUGUAAGGCUGUCUCCAAUAGGAGACCUAUUUGGGAUCAGAAGAGACAUAACCCAAAUUUGGGUAUCCUCUCUCCUUGAGACCUAUUUGCAGAGAGUGUUGUCUUUUAGGUCUUGUUGUUGGAGAAGACUAAAAAUAGGUAUGUAACUUUUUACCUAUAGCGCUACCCAAAGGACAAAUGGGUAUUGUAUUUUGGGUAACGAUUGUUGGAGAUAGUCUAACUGUGUCACUCUCAACCAAACACAUUACUAUAAGCCGUAAGGGCCUGUAUGGUUACAGAGGGUAAAAUUUACCGCCCGUUGCACAUGUAUGAAAAACUAAAUAUAAACUAUUUACGAAACUAAAAACAUAGAUAAAAAGUAAUUUACAAGAUGAAUCUUUAAACAUAAUUAGUUCAUGAUUAAACAUUAAUUACUAAAUAAAAUAGAAAUGCUACAGCCAACCAAACACCCCCGGACGCAGUCACAACACUCGACUGGUAGAGUAUGUUGGACGUAUUUUUUUUUCUUCAAAAAAUGCGUAAUGCAAGCAGGAUAGAUCUUCAUCAGAUGCUACAAUGUCGUUUUCUUUUCUUCCUCCGUGUUGUUUUCAAUAUAAGGCCUUGUUUAGAUAUGAAAAUUUUUUGAAUUUCACUACUGUAGCACUUUCGUUUGUUUGCGAUAAAUAUUGUUCUAUCAAAGACUAACUAGGGUCAAAAGAUUCGUCUCGCGAUUUACAAUCAAACUGUAUGAUUAGUUUUUAUUUUCAUUUAUAUUUAAUGCUUCAUGCAUGUGGUAUAAAAUUCGAUGUGAUGGAAAAAUUUUGAAAACUUUUUGAUUUUGGAUGAACAAAACAAGGCCUAAAAAAAAUAAACAAGCCGUUUGCAAGAACUGAACUGUUGCUCCACUAGCGAUGAGGAUACCGUUCCGAGGCGAGAAAAGAUGUCCUUUGCUGACACGUCACACGACGGUGCAAAGCGGACCGGGCGCGCGACGUGACAGUUCGCUUGAGCCCAUGGCGAUGGUACGGCCUUGUUUAGUUCACCCGAAAUCCAAAAAGUUUUCAAGAUUCCCAAUCACAUCGAAUCUUGAGACACAUGUAUAAAGCAUUAAAUAUAGACAAAAAUAAAAACUAAUCGCACAGUUUGACUGUAAAUCACGAAAUAAAUCUUUUGAUCCUAAUUAGUAUAUGAUUGGACAAUAUUUACGGACGGCGGACCCGUGGACCCGCGGGCGGGACCCAGGGCAGUCGUCGCCGACGUGUCAGCCGGCACGGCGCAUGGGCCCCACCUCUAUCGCGUGUCAGGCCUCUCCGAGCUCGAAACGUGUCCCACAGGGGCAGGUGACCCCACCUGCACGACGGCGUACUACGGGCGCACGCACCUCUGGUGGUGGACUUGCUGUACUGCUGUGGGUGUACAGUGUAUAGUACGUACUACUGCUGUACGUACUGCACCCCCGGCCCAUAAUGCCGUGGGCCCGCCGCGUCAUCCGCGCGUGGUUUUGGUUGCUACUGUGCGGCACUGCCGCAUCGCUGGCACAGCGUGACGCACCACGCACGGAGCCGAACCGAGCCGAAUCCCCCCACCCGCGAUGCCACGCACGGCCUUGCCGCGGUUGCCGCCAUGGAUGAUGGGCCCGCCCGCCGCGGUGGCGGCCCGAAGGCCGAAAGAUCCACCAGGGUAUCCAACGGCUCUUGCAUAGCGCUAAUGGGCACGUUACUGUUCCGUGCGACGCAAGUGCCAAAUUGGCAAAUGGCUGUCUAUUUUUUUCUAUUGUCGGCAGGCUCUUGGAGGUGUCGUUCUGGUUUGGUUACUGUUUCGGCUUGUGCGUUUGUGAGUUUGUGUGCGUUUUGGAUGUUGCUGUUGUGCCUGUUGUCCUUUUGCGAAAAUAAAAAUCUACUUAUAAACUGAUGUAGUCGUUUUGUGAAUUAAAAUGCUGUAGAGACUGGCUGAGAAACCAAGACUCGUUCCAUGAAUCACCCUCGACGAUGAUGUGCUAACACAAAAAAAAAUCCAAUAGAUUAAUACUAGUUAUCAGCUAAAAAUAGUAGGCGAGGAUCAAACAGGCUACAGGCCUGCUUAUAGAUUUAUUAAAUCCGCUAAGCAAAUGGAGGUGAGGAGGUUCUGGUGGUUCAUGUAGAUCUUCAACUAAUCCAACAAUCUAUUAAACGUCCACAUGGAUUAGUAGAAUGAAUCAAGGUUUUCCUGAGACGAGAUGGGUAUGCAUAUGCAGAUAUGUUUCAUGCGGUUACGGGGCGCGGACCAGUCAGUAUGGAGCCGGGGGCAUCAUGCAUGCAUGGAGAGCGCCGACCGUGAACAGCUGUGGCAUGCAUGGGCGUCCAGGCAGCCCAGCAGUGUGAAAAAAAAAAAGACGAUCCAUCAAUGUCUUGUACAUGUGCUGUGCUAACAAUGGCAUUCGUUCCUCCGAGGUAGCUGGUGCCGAGCUCUCACAUUCAGCUCGGCUGGCUCCACAGCUGUUUACAUGCUGCUGCUCUGGCUUGUUUCUCUCGGUCAAGCUACGCUAGGCAGGUGGCUGAACAUGUCACUGCAUUAGAAUCACCGCAACGGCGCAACCCACACGUUGUAUAUCCCUUCUCAUCACUAACCGCAGGCUUUAUUAGCUUAGUUCACUGAUGAGUGAUGACGGACGACGACGACGACGACGCGACCCAAAGAACGAACGAUCCGGUCGACGAACUGUUCCUCGAGGGCCCGAGCGCAUGCAGUCGCUGUAGUCUGUAGGCAGGCAACAGUGUAAUGUGAAGCCCAGUCGGCCGGCACGGCAUGGCAUGGGCGUGCGCGACCAUGCCAACAGGAACAGCGGCCUCGACAGGUCGCCGAGACGACAACAGCAAAGGGACCGACGUGAUGCACGCACGAGCGCGAUUCCUCCAUGCCGGAUGCCGGUUGCCGGAAGCCCGCGGUCAAAAGGAGGCCCCGCCCGUGCCGACCCGGCGCUCUCUGCUAGCGCGUAGCGGCGCACAAUCAUGCACGCGAACUGUGCGGUGAUCUGACGGGACGACGACACGGCCGGCCGGGGCAUGCAGAUGCACAAGCACAGCAGAAGCAGCAGCAGCAGCAGAAGCGAGGAAAAGGCAAAAAACCGGAAGCGGGCAGGGCAAAAGGGGACGGUCGCCGAAGCGAGACGAGGAAGGAGGGCACGGACACGGGCGUACCUUGAUGGGGGCGCCCGUUGUUCUCCACCCGCAUCGCCAUGUCAAGGUCACACAUCGUCCUCGUCCACGACGCCGCGCGCCAAAGCUGGAACUGAAAGCAGGAGGCCGGGCACGAGCCGGCAGCCGGAUCGCGGCCACUUCUGUGUCCGUCCCCUCGUCUGUCUGCCGACCGAUCGAGAGGUGGAAGAAGAGCUAGGUCCUCGUCUGACUGCUGCUGCCUGGGGCUGGGGGCGUGGAUCACGAGCCAAGAGAUGCCGGGCGCCGGGGUCUUAUUGUUAUUGGUGGCUGGCAGGCUGGGCGAAGCUAGCGAUGGCUGGCUGGCGCUGCUAGGGGGAGGGGGAGGAGGAGGAGGUCCGUGGUGGGUGGGGCUCCCUCGGGCUCGUCUGCACUACUGCAUCCCUGGCCUCGUCGUCGUAAGCAAAAGAUAUCGGUGAUGUAAGCUUCAAGAUAUGCCCAAUUAUUGCCGCUGGCGCACGGAGAAAAAAUAUUGCGCCGGUGCAGGUGGUAUGCGACUUCCAUUUUUGCGAGUUGCGGCUACUGCUCGCUCGUUGGUAAUGGACUAAUGGUGUGGAUGAGCCAUUAGCCAUUAGCUGAUCGAUGUGCGAGCUUUAGCUUCCGUUAGGUUUAGGUGGAGGGCCCCCCGCGUUCCCUGCAGCAAAUGCGGCUGCCACUAUAUACAUCGAUCAUAUUCGCCAUUAAAAAUACCACAACAUGGUUGGUCAAGAGGAAUCCUUUGCUAAAUAAGGUGGUCCGCUGAUCCUAGUUACCAACUAUGGUGCGUCGAAAUGACCCAACAUAUGGUACACAUUUGUUUAGCAAGAUUUGCGCUUUGUAGUGUAGUCCCCCAGGCUCUCAGAUAGCGAAAUAAACAAGACAGCACUAACAAAAGUUUAUAUAAUUUCCGUCUAGUCACCUGAUCAGAUCAUUGGUUGGCCAAGUUGAGAUCUAGUCAGACAUUUGAGUAAUCCGACGCGCAUCGGCAGUAGUUAUCUGAAGUGAUGUGUAUGCAGUCGUUGGGCUAAGGCCUUGUUUAGUUCACCCCAAAAAGCAAAAAGUUUUCAAGAUUCCCCGUCACAUCGAAUCUUGUGGCACAUGCAUGAAGCAUUAAAUAUAGACGAAAUCAAAAACUAAUUACACAGUUUAGCUGGAAAUCGCGAGACGAAUCUUUUGAUUCUAGUUAGUCCAUAAUUGGAUAAUAUUUGUCACAAACAAACGAAAGUGCUACAGUACCGAAAUCCAAAAUCUUUUCGGAACUAAACAAGGCCUAAAAUAAAUUUGUGCCGCACGAAGAGUUGCAGCUGAUGACCUGUUGGAAAGGGACUGAUAUGGUUUCAUAUGGUCUGGAAGCUCAUCCGCUUUGUCGCCACACCAUCGAUUGCUCGGUAUUGCCUGGCAUUCCAAUGAAGAACAUUGUAUAUAUGGCUGGCCUGGUGGUUGAGUUCUUUUUUUCUUAUUGAAAGACAGCUUACUUGGCACCUCCUUAAAAGACAAGGUUGUGUGUGCAUCACCUCCUUAGCAAUUUCAGGAAGAUAUAUAGUUUUUAAAUAAAAGUCGUUGUUGCCUUUUUUUUGUGAAUCACAAUAUUUCCAGGUAUUUAUUUAUUGGCUCAUUUGUCCGAAUAGGAUAUGCGAGGGAAUAUACCCACCGUUGUGAAAACUUUGUUUUUGUAGUAAAAUGACAAUAUCUCGAGGGGUUUAGGUCUGAUUGUCCCCCACAAUAAAAGUUUGAGAAAAUACGAAAUAGUAGAAAGGGACACACACACAAAAAGAUACGAGGCCUCAAAAGCCCACGACGAGAACCUGAACUUCCGAAUGGGCUGCGAUCCAAGAACAGAUACGUGUCUAAGAAAUGGGCUCAUCUAACCAUAUCUACAGCCCAGUAGUUUUGCAAGCUCUGUACCUUCUGUUCUGCAUGUCCAUGACCAUGUCUACAGCAGCGUCCUUCGCAGGUUGCUGUUGUUCUUUUUUUUUUUCAGAAAUCAGAACACAAAACAAUAGGGAGUUGCCGACAAAGAUUGAGCCUAAGUAUCUGUUCAACAAGAUCUGACUGAGCGUUGCUGAGUUUGCUCAGAGUUUGCUGCUUGCCACAUGUCAACACAAUAACACCAGCGGUACUAGUAACAGGAAUUGGAGGGAAGAAGCUAAAGUAUAGCAGAAGACGGGAUAAUUUGGAGAGCGGUGGAAGGAUUUUUGGAAUUAUUGUAUACUUAUUUAUCUUUUCUUUUUUUUCUCGAAUACGCAAGAGGAUUGCGUAUCAUUAUAUUAGAAGGGAAAGGAAAUUCGAACAAUACAAAACGAGUUCACCUGCCGUAGCAGGAAAUGAAAUAAAAACACUGCAGACUGUAACCAUCCUCGGUGGAUAGCGAUGCUACCCCCCGAGCCAAGAACUCCUAAAUUUCUUGCGCCCGCGCUCAUCCAUUGUUCGGCGUCUGCUUUGAUCACAGCCAGUAGCUCGAGUACGGUGAGUGUGGUCCCCCGAAAGCAACGCGCGUUCCGCUGCUUCCAUAUAUGCCAAGAGACGAGGGCGAACAGCGAGUCUGCGCCCUUCCUCGCCGGUCCAUGCCACAGGGCCCGGAUGCGCCUCCACCACGCGAUGACUGUCUGCUGCGCCGGUGGCAAUUGUUUGUCCAGACCGGACAGGAUGAGGAACCAUACCUCUCUAGUGAAAGGGCAGUUCGUCAGUAUGUGAUCGAUGGACUCAUUCGCCUGGUCACACAGGAAACACUCAGACUAUGCUUGCAGCCCGUGUCUCGCCCGACGAUCAUUGGUCCAGUGUCGCUUCUUGAAGGCCAGCCAAAGAAAGAUCUUUACCCGUAGCGGCGCCCAGGAGUUCCAGAUUAGCUUGUGGCCCCGAAAAAUGGUUCCACCAGCUUGAAGUUUGCAGUAGGCUGAUUUUGCCGUGUACUCCCCAUCGACUGUCCAUCGCCAGAUGGUUGUGUCCGGGCUAUCGGUAAGGAUGAUGUUCUCAGUGGCCGCCCAAAGAUCUAGGUACUCGCCAGCCUCAACAAUAGAGAGCCCGCCACAGAUCGAUCUUAUCCAAGCCCGUCCCGAUAGUCCUUGGCGCACCGUCAAGGUAGAUUUGAUUCUUCUGGGCACCUUUGUGGAAAGGUUGGGUGCGAUGUCACUGAUACCUUCUCCUUGGAUCCAUCGAUCCUCCCAGAACAAGGAAGAGUUGCCGUCACCGAGGAGCGUGAACGUGGAGGCCUUGAAGAAAGCCAAUACCUCUGGGUCGGCUUUGAUAGGUAGCUCACUCCAUGCUCUGGUGUUAUCCGUCUUUUGUAGCCACAACCACCUGGUUUGAAGGGCGUAGCCGACCAACUUCAAGUUUGAAAUGCCGAGCCCACCUAGUUCCGUUGGCCGACAGCAAGUUUCCCAGGCCACCAUGCAUCGGCCGCGCACCGAGGCAUCUUUGCCAACCCAAAGAAACUUCCUGCAGAUCGCAUCGAUCUCUUUGCGCACCCACGGAGGUAAACUGUCAGCCAUCGUCGAGUAGAUGGGGAUCGCCCUUAGGACGGACUUGAUCCAGAUCAGGCGACCGCUCCUUGCCAUGAGAGAUCCGUGGCAGGGCGGGAGCUUCCUUGCAACCGCUUCGAUCAACGCCUGAUGUUCUGCCUUUGGCACCUUCUUGGUGGUCAGGGGCAAACCAAGGUACCGUAGUGGGAACUGCUGCACCUGGCAGCCUAGGAUGCGCACGAUGUCGUUCAAGACCUCUUCACCGCCAUAGAUCGGGGUUACUGAGCACUUGGACAGAUUGGUUUGGAGUCCAGUCGCAGCUCCAAAGAUGGAAAGAAUUUCCUUUACUGCAAGGGCUUCUUGUAUGGUUGGUCUGAUGAAGAUGAUUGCAUCAUCGGCGUAGAUACUGCACUGAAAUUUGAUCCCAAGCGGCUCAAUAGGUCUCAGCACGCCAUCUGCACUUGCCUUUGCCAUCAGCCGGUGAAGGAUGUCCAUGGCCAGUAUGAAUAGCAUAGGUGAAAGGGAAUCCCCUUGGCGCACGCCCCGUAGGUGCCUGAUCGCUGGUCCUGGUGUUCCGUUAAGCAUUAUCUGGGAGGAUGCGGUGGCGAACAGCCCCUCAAUCCACUGGCACCAUCUCGGUCCGAACCCCCGCGCCCGAAGCAGCUCGAACAAAAAGGGCCAAGAGAGCGUGUCAAAGGCUUUGGAGAUGUCGAUCUUGAGAAGCAGCAUCGGCGUCUUCUUUUUGCGCAGCAUGACCGCGGCCCGUUGAACAUAUUUGAAAUUGUCGUGUAUGGUCCGCGAUCUGAUGAAUGCGUUUUGGUUUUUCUCCACCAGCGCGUCUAGCUUCGGCGCCAACCUGACCGCGAGGAUUUUUGAGAUUAGCUUGGCGAAGCUGUGGAUCAUGGAGAUUGGCCGAAAAUCGGAUGGCGCUGUUGCUCCGACCCGCUUGGGAAGAAGGAUGAUGAGGGCGUUGUUCAAUUUGCUCAUGCCGCGCCGAUCUCCUGCAGUGAACGCACUGACGGCGGCCAUCACGUCCUCCUGGAUUAUAUUCCAGGCGCUCUUGUAGAACGCCCCUGUGAAACCGUCCGGUCCUGGUGCUCGGUCCGCGGGCAACUGCUUGAUUGCGUGCCAAACUUCUUCCGCGGUGAUGUCCAGUUCAAGGUCCUCUAGCGGUACUGGGUGAAUCCCAAGUGCCGUAAAGUUCAGCGUGGUUCUAGUUGAUGGCGCUGCACCGAAGACUGAGCUGAAGUGAUCGAACAGCGCGCGUUCCAUGUCAUCGUGGUCCGCAGCGACAUGUUCAUCGAUGGUAAGAGAUGGGAUGUAGUUCCGGCGUUUCCUGCCCCUGGCGAUGAGGUGAAAGUACGCAGUGUUCGCGUCUCCCUCAGAGAGGUGGCGGAUACGCGAACGCUGUCUGGCGAUCGUCCGAUCGAGUGAGGAGAGGCCGAGGCAUCUGAGUUUCAUCCUCUUGCGCAGCUCCUGCUCUGUUUCGCUCAGCUGUCGCACUUCCUGCGCCGAGUCGAGGCAGUAGACGAGCUCUCGUGCCAUGAGGAGUUGCUCCUUCACCCCUCCGAUCCUCUUCGCUGACCAGCUUUGCAGGGCGCGGGUUAGAAUCCGAAGUCGAUCAUCAAGCCGUGCGAGUGGUCCCUGGUGACUGUCCGAUCCAUUCCAGGCGUCGUUUACAACAUGCUGAAAUUCCUCGAACCGUGGCCAGAACACCUCGAAGUGAAACCUGGCCUUGGACAUGCCUCCCAUGUUGGUGCACAGCAACAAAGGACAGUGGUCUGAGGCGUCCGAACCAAGAGAUCGUAGGUGGGCGUUGGUGAAUAUCUCGUCCCACUGUGUCCAGACAAGUACCCGAUCGAGUCGUUCCAGCGUGGGGUUCUGGCGCUCGUUACUCCAGGUGAAGCUGCGGCCAUGCAGGUGGACAUCGUGUAGCUCUAAGGCUCCCACUGUGUUCCUUGUCUUCGAUCCCUUCUCUCUAAACUCGCCCAGCUAUUUAACAGCUAAGGCACCUCAGUUCAUGGGUCUUGCCCUGUCCAUGUAUACAUCACACUACUAAGCCAUUCGUUCUGCCAUUGGGAACCCAAGAACAUUUGUUGGGCCUCCUCUUCAGUCCUCGCCCCAUCCCGUGCAUCUAGACUUGCCUCCACAUGUUCAGGUUCAGGACUGCUGACAUUGCCUCUUCUUGAGAUGCAGCUUGAUCCCAAGCAUGUGCAAAAGAGAAUUGUUGUUGCACAACCGUCGAAUCUUCCUAAGUUGCUUGACUCUCAGACCACCCCGACCGCCACUCGAUCCAUACUUGAUGAAAUGGAGACAAGAUGUGUGCCCAACGUUUCUGUAGGACAUGUUUAGGAACGCGUAAGAGUUCAAACCUUAUGGCAUCUUAUUGCUGCCAAGCAAAACAAGCGCUAAGGCUCUUGUAGCAGGUAGCUAUGAUCGAUUUGGUUCGACACCGUUGGAUCCCUUUUGCUUUACAUAUACACCCUGUACUGCAAUUCUGCAGACGAUCGCUUCAUCUCAUCAACCAUUGCGUGUAGGAAGCAAUACGCAUUCAGCUAGCUGCUAUAUAUAGAAACCUCUCCUGUCAGCUGCUCUUCCUCUGGUCCGAGAGGUAACCGCACAGAUCAGGAAAACUAGAGGUAGUGUUCACCCACCAAUCCGUGAUUGUCACAUCUGGAUACACAGCUGCUAGCUUUUUCACUAGGACGAACAGACUGAAUGCCAAUAGUAGCACUUCAUGUGCAUGCCACCGAUAUAUAUAUGUACCGAUGCUCACAAAACGUUGCGUGAGCGUGUAAUUAGGAUUCGGUAGAUAGACAAUUAAGCAUGUCACAAUCUGGUGUGUAUUCGGUGAACUUUGCGUCAAACAGCACACUCAACCAGCAUGUCACGAUCGGCCCCGUUUCGUUACCAAUUUUCGUUCGGUUUAAAGCAAAUAUAUGCACCGUUCCUUCAAAUAUAUGCAGUACAUUCGGUGCGGUAUUGCCACAAAUUAUUCAACCCGAUCGAGCUACAUGCUACUGAUGUGCUCGAUCAACGCAAACGCCGCAUUGCGCGUGCACAAUAUAGCUAUAGCACACUAGUAAUACUGUAUGUUGUCACGGUACACAUGAGGCCUAGCAGCCCAAGCAAGAAGAGUACAAGACACAAGAAGCUGAACCCGAAGUUUGUUGGCCCAACUUGGAGCAAGUAAUUAACCUGAAGCUCAGUCCAGCUGCGUCUGGAGAGCGUGCUGUGCUUAACAGCUGUGUAAUGAAUUCAGUUUAAGAAGAAGGAGAGAGAGCAAACUAGGGGAAAGUAAAAUAUUUUUUUUUCGAAAGACGGCAUAAAGAUUUUGCCGUAUUUUUAUUAGUCGAGGAAAAAAAAUGCAACAUAAUUACAACUCCCACUUAAAAACUCUCAACCACUGGAGGGAAAGUAAAAUAUGCCCUUUGCUAGAAUAUUGUUACAUAUGUGUUGGUGUGUGUGUGGUACAAACUCUUCAUAUCUAUACUUGUAUGGCGCGGCCUGACCCGCGUGCGCGGCUGCAUGCACUUGUGCGCGGCUGCUUGGCGAAGACCGAAGAGCGUGUUGCUGAGCAGCUGGUUGGAGGUGACGAAGCCCACCAGGAGCGUGCCCUGGAUCACCGUGUCAGGAUCUCCGACGCGCAAGGGUGCGUGUGCGGCGGGUUCUGCCCGCCGGCCGGGGACGAAGUCGAUGCGCGCCAGCGAGAUGCCCAGCGUGUUCAGCCCCGGGAUCUGGCCAUCUGGGCCACCGCCACCGGCGUCACGGCGGAGCCCUGCGCGCGCGUUUGGUGCCAUCGGCACUAUGUGGAAGAAGAUGUCGCGGUUGCGUUCACCACGUUCGGGUUCUUUUGCACACCACUCCGUUCACCGGCACUGCAUGCAUAUGCAUGCACACGUCCACCCGUGUCAGUACUUUUGUCGUCAUCGCAAAUCAUCAUACACAAUUAAUCACCUUUGAGUAGUAUACAUUGCAUGCAUGCCUUCAAUACAUGCAUAAAUAUAGAUAACUGAGCUCUCUCUGUAGACUGUAUAGUGCUGCAAAAGUUCAUGCUUUGUGUUGCAUGCACAUAUAUGUACCUGCCUACAAAUGUACUGUGUUUAUUUACCAGGGCUAUUGUUAUCAGCAACGCAGAAGUCCUGGAGCUGGGUUGGAUCACAGUUACCAGACCACGGGGACUGAAGUAAAACCCACAACCGCUAGCACUGCAAGCAGUGUAGUAGGAGAAAGGCACAGGAAGCCACGGCGCUGUUUCUUUGCUAGUGAUCAAGUGUGCUCGAUCAAGCUGCUUGAUUAGUUUGUGGUCUGCAACACUUGCCAGUGCACCAAUUUAAAGGUAGUGUUCACCCAACAGUCUGUGAUUCUCGCAUCUAGAUCAACACAUGAAAACAGAGAAUCACUUGCGUAACGGCGAGCAGUCAAACCAAACAGGCAUGCAACCACUAGUCAGAUACUCAGAUCAUAUAUGUGCCCACACGAUGUAUAUAAUAUUUUAUACAAGUUUGAAUAUAUAUCUUGAGAUGCAAAAUCUAUACCUAUACCUAUUAAUCUAUAUCUAUAUCUAUCUAUAUAUAUAUAUAUAUAUAUAUAUAUAUACCUAAUACUAAAGAGGCAAAAUUUCAGCCUCAAAUUUGGUCAGGAAAUUUUUUCGUCUAAUCCAAGUCCCAGUCCGUCUCAUACUUUUGUACCAGAUUUCAGAUCGAGUCCAAAACAAAAUCACAUACAAAUCAGUACCAUAUACCAGAUUCCAGGUAGAGCCAAAACGAAACCACAAACAAAUCAUGUAUCAUAUAUCCGACGGCAAUAGCUCCGCGAGCCUAGAAAAUCUGCUGACUGGAGCUAGAACGCGCACCUAGAGCCGAAAAAAAUAGCUUCACCCGGCUCGUCUUUGGUUUGGUCCGCUUCGGUAUCGCACUGAUUCGGAGAUGGGAUGUGGCGGCACGGGGAGGAAGAGAAGUGAGGGCGCGCUGAUUUGGGGAGGAGAAGGGCGAGAUAUAUCCGACGGCAAUAGCUCCGCGAGCCUAGAAAAUCUGCUGACUGGAGCUAGAACGCGCACCUGGAGCGGAAAAAAACAGCUUCACCUGGCUCGUCUUUGGUUUGGUCCGGAAUAACAAAACAUCUGGUACAGAUACACCGGAAUACACCUGUAACAAAACAUCUCAUUCCAAAUGAAAAUCCAAAAUGAAAUUGAUAAAUAUAAGUAUGCUCGAGACGGAGCUGAUAGGAAGUUCAAAGCGAAAGGAUAGUUAAGGUUCGGAAAUAGAAAAAUAAAUUUGGUGACUCUUGGAACAUAUUGUUGGGAGUUGAGUACAAUAAUUUUUAUUUCGUACUUCCACUCCUGCUAACUCAAUUUUUUAAUUGAUGGUUAAAAUACAAACCAACACAUAAUAACAGUCGAUUUAGUUAGACGCUCGCUUUUACCUUGACAUGAAGCACAAAUAAAUAGUGACUCUUUUUGGGUUGUUAUAUGAUCCAAUAAAAUUCAUUCUUUAUAUAGUGUUUGUGCACAACUUAUUUCAUGUUUGAGUUCGCAUCGCCUAAUCUUACUUUUGCAAAUACUUAACAUGUUUAACAAGACAAUGAUAAUUAUUUUCAAAAAAAAAUAUUUAUAUUAUAGAACAAAAUAGAUGAAGACAAAGACAAAUUAUGUUAAAUAAUGUCUUCCUGCCUCCGAAUUUAAAAGUUACAAAGUAUAUGUAACUAUGAAUAUAUAUGGUCUCCUUCACAUAUUUUAUUUGAUUGUCUACAUAUGAAUAUUGUGAACAUAGAUUGUAUAUGCAAAUAGAAAUCAUUAAGCAAUAAUGACGAGUAAUUUUAAAAAAGUCUCAAACCAUGUUUAAUUGUCAAUUCCUUAAUUAAAAAAAUGUUCAGUUGUUUAUUAGACUUGGACAUAUUAGUGUUUAUUCUCCCGUUGCAACACACGGGCAUGUUUUCCUAGUAUAUAUUAAACGAGGAUGUGGUUGGGAAGACAAGAAAUGAUGUUGAACCGUCGUUAGAUUUUGACAUAAAGAAAUGCACUUUUACAUGGAGGUCGUAUUCAUAGAACCACAUACUGGAUGAACUUAGGGUCCCUAUUCAAACCGACUAGGAUAUUGCUUUAUCCCUACGUCGAGUUUUCUUGCGCACAACUUUGUAGAUGGAUCAAGCUACGAAUCAUCUUGUAAUGGGCUAAAACUACCGACCCAAGUCUAGCCAUAAGGGUAUAGGAAUUUAUACUCCCACAACUAGUCCCCGAGCACCAUGUAUUAUGAAGCGACACACCGUCUUGAACUUCUUCGACCAGUGAUAAGGACAAUCUUUUUUCAUAAUUACCGAAAAAGUAGGUUGUCCAAAUAAUGCAUGGUGCUCUUAAGAAAGAAGAUUUCUUUUCUCGUGAAGUGUGCCGACUUUACUUUUAUGAAAAGUAUAAGCUUCUAAAAAGCAAGCAUAUUCACCGUAAGGUGAAGUGUGACCACUUAGUCCCCGAGCCUGGUGGUUGGCACAGUCCCCGAGCACAACGUAGAGACUAGUCGAUAAAUCUCCGAGUGUGGUUGGGAACAUAAACGUACUCGGUGGUCGGCAUAGUCUUCGAGCACAGCGUAGAGACUAGUUAACAAAUUCCCGAGCGUGGUUGGGAAUGUAAGCAUGCUCGGUGGUCGGAGCAAUCCCCGAACACAGCGUAGGGAAUGGUCGACGAGUCCCCAAGCGUAGCUUGUUAACUAGGCCAAACUCCUAAAAAAUAAAUAUAGAAAAUAUGUAAUACAUGAUGUAUAAAUAAACUCUAGAUAAAAAACAACACCCAGUUUUAGAUUUUUUGUUUUAUUAAAAUUAGCACGAAUAGUUAAUUUAUCCUAGAGCUUGUACCAGCUCUGGUCUAGCCAACAAUCUAGAGCAUGAGAUGCGGAAAGACACACAUAGGAUUGCCAGCCUCACUAGAGAGCUACUGCCGACCACCCGAAACGUAGAGGGCGGAUCUCGUGCAUGUGUGGGGAGGAGUCGGAGACAGUGCCGGCUCUAAAAAACUCGUGUAGAAGAAAAAACUAAUCGGCUAACCAAAAAGUUAUUUUGAAAGAUAAUAAUAUCAAAAAUAUUAUGCUAAAAAUAAAUAAAAAUAUUAGAAGUGCACUUUUCUUUGGACGAAAGUCUGUUCGGUGGCGACAAAAUUGUUUGAUCCUCAAGUUUUAUGAUGUGUUGUCAUGAAGGUGGUCGCGAGCGCUGUUCUUUGUAGCCAUCAUUAUUGCGACAUGACAGGUGGUCAGAGUAGGCCAAGAAACUUGGUCGAAAGCCCGAGCAGAUCGGUGUUGUCGAUCUGUCUCCUUUUGUAGCCGGGAAGCGGCGAUGUGUUGUCGACGUGGUCGGAGACGUUGCUGAAGUGGUCGAAGCCGUAGCCAGCGUGGUUAGAGCCGCAACCGACGUCGAUGAAGAAGUGAUCGGCGCAGAUUAGAUCUGCACCUCCUCCAUGGUCGUGGCGGUGAAGUCGUUGAAGCCGGUGGUCUAGGUAAUCUGGCCGAUGGUGAACGUGAGACCGCUCGUCACGGCCGUGGAGUCGGAGAUAAUGACCAUCUGCUUCGCCUGGGAAGCUGUACGCACACUCCCUACCUGGCGUGCCACUAUCGACGAAAGCUGGUUGGCAGUCUACCUUAGGGUAUACCCACAGUAGUAGUUUAUCGGCAGACAGGUGCGCAAACUACGAACUUGAUGGUGACGUAAGACACAAACAAGGAGUUUAUCUUGGUUCGGCCGCCGUAAAGGCGUAAUACCCCCUCCUUACAUAGUCUUGGGGACAAGGUUACAAAUGUAGAAAUUAAUCCUAACCGGUUACAAUUCAACCCAAGUCUAGUCAUAAGGAUAUAUGGAUUUAUAUCCUCACAUAUAUCUUUACCGGCCAUGGAUGAAAGUCAUCCGAUAGAUUUAUCACUUAUUAUUCCGUUUGAGUCUAUUCCACCCAAACUUGAAUAAUAAAGUCUUAUGAUUUAGUUUUUAACACAUCCGCAUUUUGAAAAUAGUGCAAAAAGGUUUUAUCCCUAUGAAACUAUAUUUAUUUUCAUAAAAUUUUUAUUAUUUCUCUCUUUAUUUAUAUGAUGCCAUGUCAACAUAUUUAAUAUUUAUAAAACUUCAAUGAAACUUUAUUAGGACUGAUAUAAAACUCUAAUGAAACUCGUCUGGGACACGUUCGAACUUUGAUAAUGGAUGCUUUAAGUACAUACCUUCUCAUCGUUUCUUUAUAUGUUUAUAAGUACGUACCUUCUCGUCCCCUUUUUUAUAUGUCAUUCUCGAAAAUUACUAAAUACUCUCUGAUAUUUUGAACUUUAAGAUAUCAUGUUUGACCGCUCGUCUUACUCAAAAUUUUUGUACAAAUUAUAAAAUAAAUAAAUUAUUAUUAAAAUAUCUCUAAUAAUCAAAUAAAUCAUAUAAAAUAAAUAAUAUUAUACAAAAAGUUAUAAUAAAAUAGAUGGUCAAAUAAAAUGUCUGAAAAUCAACGACAGCGUUUUUUAAAUGGAGGAAAGUAUAUAUUAAACAUAUUAAUAUUUAUAAUGCAUAAUCAGUAUCAUUCGUUAGACCUUUAAAUUUAUUUUUAUAAUAAAUUUAUUUAGAGAUAUAAAUAUUACUAUUAUUUUAUAUUAAUCUAGCUAAAGUAAAAAAAAAAGCUCGAACAGACACUCAGCGACACUCAAUAAGAGACAAGGGAGUAUAUGCUCCGUACAUCUCAUUCAAAGGACGACUAAGCAUGUGCAAAUAAGUCAAAAUAAGCCAAUGCACUGUAGUUGCGCACGCAUGCACUAAUGCCCAGUUCGCAAAAAUUUUCAAGAUUUUCCGUCACAUUGAAUCUUUGGUCGCAUGCAUGGAGCAUUAAAUAUAGAUGAAAAUAAAAACUAAUUGCACAGUUUAUCUGUAAUUUGUGAGAUGAAUCUUUUGAGUCUAGUUACUCCAUAAUUAGACAAUGUUUGUCAAAAAAACGAAAGUGCUACAGUAGCCAAAAACCCAAUUUUUUGCCACCUAAACAAGGCCACAUCUACAAUACCACUUGAAGCAACAGCUCUUGCUUUGGUAGAAGCGAACUCCUUUUUUUCCUUCUUCUAGCUAGAAAGAGACUUAUUUAUCAUCUGUUUCUCUGGUCCGAGCAAAUCGCACAUGCAUAUCAGAUAAAAAAAAUAUUGUCGCACAUAUCGGGAAUUAGUUACUGAUACGGAACAAUCAUCUGACACAUAUCUUCUCGUAGCAGUAGGACUUUCGUGCGCCUGUGACAAACGAAGCUGACAAAUUAACGUUCUGCGUGUGCGACUGUGUGUGAGAUGUGGACAUGUGGUAGUAUAGACUAUAGAGUACAGCUAAGGCUGUCACGAUUUGGUUUCUGUUCGGGCGUGCAAGGGCUACCGGCGGCUUCGACCGCCGCGACGUGCUCCUCGGCCUCGGCGGGGCGCGCGGCAGCGGCCGGCUUCCUCGAUCAAUAACGCUCUGCUAAAUUUGCUACAUUUAAUUUUGAUUUAAUUUUCCGGCCUCCUCGAUCAAUAACGCUCUGCUAAAUCUGCUACAUUUUGAGUUAUUUUUCUCAAUAAAUUUAGCUAGCUGUGUUCUAACAUGUAAGCCGUGGCUUCUUAUGGCUGCCGAGCAAAACAAGCGCUAAAGCUCUUGUAGCAGGUAGCUACGAUCAUUUUGGUUCGACAGCGUCCGAUCCCUUUUGCUUUACAUAUGUCUUUCACGCUAAAAACCAAAUUUUUUUCAAGAUUCUCUGUCACAUCGAAUCUUACGACAUAUGCAUAAAGUAUUAAAUAUAGAUGAAAACAAAAACUAAUUGCACAGUUUGUCUGUAAAUCGCAAUACAAAUCUUUUAAGACUAGUUACUUCAUGAUUGGAUAAUGUUUGUCAAAUAAAACCAAAAUACUAUAGUGUUACAAUUAAAAAUCUUUUUAGAUCUAAAUAUGGCGAUAUAUACUGCAGAUGAUCUCUCCAUCUCAACCAUGCAUUUGCGUGUAGUAGGAAGCAACAAAAAGCUAGCUGCUAUAAAUAGGCCAUGUUUGGUUAAAUGGAAGUCUAGUCUCUAUCUUAUUGAAUGUUUGAAUAUAUGUAUGAAGUAUGCUAUUUAUACGAAACUAAAAACAUAAAUUGAGACUAAUUUACAAGAUGAUUUUUUAAGACUAAUUAGUUCAUAAUUAAUGAUAGAUCCAUGAUUGCUACAAUAAAAAAGUGCUAAUGAUAAAUUAAUUAGACAUACUAAUUUCGUCUUAUAGAUUACUGACAGAAUUUGUAAUUUAUUUUCAUUAGUAUUUGAACACACCAUGAACCACAUCCGAGUCCUUACAUCCAAACACCCUAUAGAAACCUGACUCAUCUGUUCUCCGGUUAUAGGAGCUAAUCGCACUUACAGUCCAUGACUCAGCUCGCCUGUUGAUCGAUGUUUACAGCUGCUGCUUUUUCGUCGCGAAUGAUUGAACUGUUACCGAAUAUGGGAAAAAAUUAGGUAGAAACUCUGCACCAUGUCUCUGUAUAGACCCACUUUGGAUGGAAGAUACGUGUCCCAAAACUCCAAUCACACGGAGACACGAUAUAGGAGGUCUACAUCCAAGAUGCGUCUCUAUGGAGGAAUCCUGGUCUCUCCGUUGUGUGUGUGUGUGUGGUUGUGGUCAGUUUCGUGCCCGUGUGACAAACGAAGAUGACAACACUCUGCGUGUAAAUAUGGUACAGAGAGUAUAGAUAGCUAAAACCCACAUCGAAUAUUUAGAAACAUACAUGAAGUAUUAAAUAUAAAUUAUUUAUGAAACUAAAAAUACAGCUAGAGAAUAAUUUACAAGACGAUUUUUAAAUCUAAAUAGUCUAUAAUUAAACAAUAAUUACUAUAAUUACAAAUAUACUAAAGUGUGUGUAUAUAUAUAUAUAUAUAUAUAUAUAUAUAUAUAUAUAUAUAUAUAUAUAUAUAUAUAUAUAUAUAUAUAUAUAUAUAUAUAUAUAUAAAAUUUUAGUUCCUUCAACCAAACAUCCGCAUGUCACGAUUUGGUGUGUUCAGUGAAUUUGUCAAAUACGGUCCAUACUUAGGCCUUGUUUUUACUUCCCAAAAAUUUUAUGAAGUUUUUUAAAAUUAUUUCCCAUCAUAUCGAAUCUUAUGACACAUGUAUGAAAUAUUAAAUAUAGAUAAAAAAUAACUAAUUGCACAGUUUCCCUGUAAUUUACGAGACGAAUCUUUUGAACAUAGUUAGUCUAUGAUUGGACAAUAUUUGUCAAAUAUAAACAAAAUGCUACAGUGUUCAUUUUAUAAAAAUUUUGGUAACUAAACAAAGCCUUAGCUAUCUAUACAUAGGGAUAGAUCGCAGUGAGAAUGAACCGAUGAAAACCGGCUGACCUAAACUCUGAUCUCCAAGGCUGGAGGGUAAGUUCUCCACUAGUAGUUGUGUUAUAGUAGUGUUCCUCAUUCUAUUUGACCCAAAUUAAAUCGGCGGUUUAACCGAUUGGACCAAUCAAAUCCGGUUCGGUCCUAGUAACUUGGGUACAGAUAGCUACGCGGGUCUGGAGUCUAUACCAGCAGCAUGUUACGACGAUCGUCCCCCGGCCCUGCCCGUUUCGUUGCCAAGCAAGUUUGGUCGUUUUUUUUUUUUGGAACAAGUUUGGUCGGUUUAAAACAAGUGCCGUGCAUCGCAAAAUACAGCAACACUUUCUCUUGGUCUACGAGGAACUAUAUAGACGUAGCACGAGUAGUUGGCAAUGAACCAAACCUCGACACGGCACAUGCAGCAGUAGCACGUGACAAACAACCAAAUCAAACAUCCAGUCCACUAGCUAGCCGAUCAUAGUUUUUUUUUUUACGGAACCUAGCCGAUCAUAGUUCUAUAUAUACUCCUAUAUAUAGCCACUCGCUAAACCAUGGCACGCCAUCGGUCGCAGCUCACAAGCAGCGCCAUGGGGAGCGCCACCAUGCCACGAAGUUUCGCCGCGCCACGCGCGCCAUGCCGCAGCCUCCAUACGCUCAGGUGCAGGUGCAAGGCUACCGGCGGCGCCGACCGCCGCGACGUGCUCCUCGGCCUCGGCGGGGCGGCGGCGGCCGGCCUCCUCAGCUCGUCGUUGUCGAACCGCGGCGGUGCGCUCGCGGCGCCCAUCCCGGCGCCGAACCUCAGCAACUGCCAUCCACCUGACCUCCCCGACACGGUGAGCGACAUCAACUGCUGCCCGCCGGGCGCGGGGACGGCGAUCGUCGACUUCACGCCGCCGCCGACGGUCGGGCGCCGCGUGCGCCCGGCCGCGCACCUGGUGGACGAGGAGUACGUUGCCAAGUACGAGAAGGCCGUGGCGCUGAUGAAGGAACUGCCGGACGACGACCCGCGCAGCUUCACGCAGCAGUGGCGCGUGCACUGCGCCUACUGCGACGGCGCGUUCGACCAGGUCGGGUUCCCGGACCUGGAGAUCCAGAUACACAACUGCUGGCUCUUCUUCCCGUGGCACAGGUGACGACGACGGUUCCAUGCAUGCUGGCGUCAUGUGAUCUUAGCUUGCUCGUGUAUAUGCUUUAGCGAUUGAUAAUAAUUAAUUAACGUGCAACUUUUGUGAACGUCGUUGCACUGCUUAGUUAGUUUCACAAAUUGGACAACGCGUGCAGGUUGUACCUGUACUUCCACGAAAGGAUUCUUGGGAAGCUCAUCGGCGACGACAAGUUUGCGCUGCCGUUCUGGAACUGGGACGCGCCCGGCGGCAUGUCGCUGCCGGCGAUCUACGCCAACAAGUCCUCCCCGCUGUACGACGAAAGGCGUGACCCUGCUCACCAGCCGCCAUUCACGGUGGACCUCGACUACGACAGGAUCGAGCAAAACAUCCCAAGAGCUCAGCAGAUCGAUCAGAACCUGAUGAUCAUGUACCGUCAGGUCAGUGUUAGUAUAGCUAGCUAGCUGGCUGUGUCUUGUUGUACGAAAUAUUACACCCUCGAUCAGGUGUCAGGUUUGCUAGUGCGACACUGCACUAACAGUGAACACUCAGUUCUUGGACGUAACUGAACACUUGAUCUUAAAACUUUAAAAUUGAACACUUGAUGUCUGAUUAGCAUAUGGAUGAUACACAUGCAUGUCUCUACUCUACGUCAGAUGAUCUCCGGUGCCAAGAAGAAGGAACUCUUCUUUGGGCUGCCUUACCACCAGGGCGACCAGCCAGACCCAGGCGCAGGCACCGUAGAGAGCGUCCCGCACGGCCCAGUACACUUCUGGAGCGGCGACCCGAGCCAGCCGAACAACGAGGACAUGGGCAACUUCUACUCCGCCGCGCGCGAUCCACUCUUCUUCGCGCACCACGGCAACAUCGACCGCCUGUGGUCGGUCUGGAACGGCCUCCGCGCCGGCAACACCAACUUCACCGACCCCGACUGGCUGAACGCCAGCUUCCUCUUCUACGACGAGGAGGCCCGCCUCGUGCGCGUCCGCGUCCGCGACUGCCUGGACACCGCUGCCCUGGGCUACAGCUACCAGGAUGUUGCCCUGCCGUGGCUGAACGCCAGGCCGACCACGGAGACCGGUUCUCCGGUUCCCGCCGCGGGCGCGCUCCCGGCGACCCUGAACCAGACCGUGAGGGUGGCCGUGACGCGGCCCAGGACCUCGAGGACCCGCCAGGAGAAGGACGCGGAGGAGGAGGUGCUGGUCGUCGAGGGGAUCGAGGUCGCCGACCACUUCAGCAGGUUCGUCAAGUUCGACGUGUUCGUGAACGAGUGCCAGGGCGGGGGCGGCAUGGGGGCGGCGGUGGCGCAGUGCGCGGGGAGCGUGGCGAUGACGCCGCACCUGGUUCGGCCCGGGAAGGGUAGGGGCUCCGUGAAGACCGCGGCGAGGUUCGGCAUCUGCGACCUGCUCGACAACAUCGGCGCUGACGGGGACAAGACGAUCGUCGUGUCGCUCGUGCCGAGGUGCGCCGGAGACAUGGUUACUGUCGGUGGCGUCCGGAUCGAGUAUGUUAAGUGAGGUCCUUCUAUUACGUCCUACCCUCCUACGAGUACAUCUCACAAGUGCUAGGGCCUAGAGACAACUGCUCUACGACCAGGAGUAUAUAUCAGGUAUACAUGAAUAACUGUGUGAUGCUGUACGUGUAUGGACGACUCCUGUUGAACUAUAUAUGUAGGGAACUAUUUGGGAUUGUGUUUGCGUGCCGCCGUGAUUAUAUAAUAUGGGCCAAUGUCAAUGCGACAUCAAUAAUUAACAAAUAAGGGCAUUAGUGUCUGUAAUGUGUAACAGCAUGACCAUAGAGAACAGUGACUACCGUGUCGCCGGAGAAAAACUUGUAAUGCGAUCGGAGAAAGGGUGGACACCAAUGGCAGUAUGUGGGGUGUAAAGCGCCACUCAGAUUGCUCAGAAGAUGGCAGAACCGCAUGUCAAACCAGUGACCGAUGUAAUGGUGUAGAUAAAUCACGACAUACGGAACUCAUCCAUUAACCAAAUCAAGGAAAAGCUGUACACAAAUUACGACAUACAAUACUAUCCAUUAAUCAACUCAAGGAGAUGCUCUAGAGAAAUUACGACAUAUGAAAUUCAUCCAUUCUCCAAUAUACCCAUUCGAAAGUGGCCCACACGAUGUAUGUGUGUGUGCGCGCGCGCGUGAUUCCCGUGUACUCAUCCGGGGUGUUCAGUACUAUUCACCACCAAGGCCUCGGAAUAGUGUGUGUAUAUGAGAGAGAGAGAGAGAGAGAGAUGCAACAUGCAUAUUUAUUUUUUAGACAAAGAAAUUACAUGCAUGUUUAUUAAGUUGUUGUAGAAAUUAGUAAACGAAGAUGUGGUUUGAAAGGCAAGAAAUGAUGUUGAAUGGUCGUUAGAUUUUGACAUAAAGAGUAUUCACUCUAUUACAUGCAGGUCAUCUUUAUAGAGCCACACACACUGGAUGAUAAGCUUAGGGUCCUGUUGCAAAAGUAGAAUACUGAAUAAUUAAGAUGCUGUGGAAACGACAGUCAUGGAUAUCUUUACCGGCCAUGCAUGGAUGAAAGUCAUCCGAUAGAGAUUUAUCACUUACUAUUCCGUUUGAGCCUAUUCCACCCAAACUUUAAUAAUAAAUGAUUUUGGAGGAUACGUUCGAACUUUGAUAAUGUAUGGCUUAUUAAGUAAUUCCCCGUCCAUUUUUAUACAUCGUUCUCACUCCUCAAACGUGUACCUAACUUUUACUAAAUAUAUAUUAAAAUAUUAAUAUUUAUAAUACAUAAUUAGUACCACUAGAUAGAUCUUUAAUUUAUUUUUACAAAAAAUUUAUUUAAAAAUACAAAUAUUUGCUAAUAUUUUAUAUUAAUCUAGUUAAGAUUAAAAAAAGUUUAACUAACACUCAUCUCAUAUAUAGCGACACAGACUAAGGGAUAGAGGGAAUAUUCCGUAUACAUCCUAUUCAAAGGACGACAUAAGCCUGUUUAAAUAAGUCAAAAUAAACCAAUGUGUUUUUUUAAAGGAAAAUAUAGUUGCACGCACCAACUUCAACUUGUGUGAGCACAUCUACAGUACCUCUUGCAGCAACAGCUCUUGUUUUUUUUUUUUUUGAAGGAAACAGCUCUUGCUUUAGUAGAAGCGAAUUCCCUUUUUCCCUUCUUCGAUCUGAAAAGAGACUUAUCAUCUGUUCUCUGGUCCAGGCAAAUCGCACAUAUCAGAAAAAGUGGUUUUUGCCACUUACCAAGUCCGAUCGAUGUUUACAGUAGGACUUUCGUGUGCUGCUGCUAGUACGUAGGUUCUCCUUUUUUCGUCGGAAAUAAUUAGUUACUCAUACGGAAUAAUGUGAACCGUCAUCUGCUCAUCACCAUCGUGGUUAUAGCAGUAGGACUUUCGUGCGCGUGUGACAAAAACGAAGCUGACAAACGUUCUGCGUGUGUGUCAGAUCGAUGUGGUAUAUAGCUAAGGCUAUCAGGAUAUAUUUGGUGUGUGGUACGAGUUCGAUCGGGCGCAUAUAGCUUGUCUAUACCAGCAGCAUGGUACACGAUCAUCGGCCCCCAGCCCGUUUCGUUAAUUACAGCGCAAGUUUUGUUCGGUUUAAAGUAUGCAUGUGCCGUGCGUGCAUCGCAAAAUUACAGUCACACACGACAAAGCAUAUGUAUAGACGUAUAGCACGUACUCCACCUGGCAACGAACCAAUCCUCGACACUUACGACACAUGUACGUAGAGUAGCACGUAACAAAACAAGCUAGUAGACCACAUGGUACGGCACAUCCAGCCCUAGCUAGUCGAUCAAUCACAUGUCCACACGUUCUGUAUAUUGCUUCUCGCGCUAAACUAUGGCAUUGGGCAAAAAAAACUUUUACCGAAUAAGACUCUGCCGAGACCCUUUUACCGAGUGUAAAUAUAUAUGGCUUUACCGAAACACUUGGCAAAGCAACUGGCUGCCGUAACAGGCCGGCCGAUCACAUGUCAUGCAACUCACAGGUUCACACUUCGUUCACAGCAGGUUCAUCACUGAGCAGCAGCUAGCGCCAUGGAGAGCAUCAUGUACUCAUGCCACGAGGUUUCGCCGCUCGUCGCGCGCCAUGCAUACCAUACUGUACGUACGUAGCCUCCAGACGCUCAGGAUGCAACGCUCUACCGGCGGUGCCCGACCGCCGCGACGUGCUCCUCGGCCUCGGUGUGGAGCGGCAGCUAGCGGCCGGCCUCCUCGAUCAAUAACGUCUUGCUAAAUUUGCUACAUUUUGAGUUUUCUCGUCAAUAAAUUUGGCUAGCUGUUCUAACCUUUAAGCCGUGGCAUCUUAUGACUGCCAAGCAAAACAAGCGCUAAAGCUCUUGUAGCAGGUAGCUACAAUCGUUUUGGUUCGACAGCCUCCAAUCCCUUUUGCUACUUAUAUAUGUACACCCUGCACUGCAAAUGCAUAUAUGAUCUCUUCAUCUCAACCAUUAAGAUAGGAACCUCUCAUCUGUACAUUCUUCUUCUUCCUCCGGUACGAGCUAACCGCACGUACAGAUCAGGAAAAUUAAAGGUAGGGUUCACCCAUCUGUCCGUGAUUCUCGCAUCUAGAUAGUUUAUCUGCGCUCACAAAUUGUUGCGUGUGUGUAAUUAGAUUCGGUUGAUAGAUAAGCAUGUCACGAUCUCGUGUACUUGUAUUCCGGUGAACUUUGCGUCAAACUGCAGCACCCAGGCCCAUAUAUACGUACUACUCAACCAGCAUGUCACGACCGGCUCCCUUUCGUUACCAAGUUUCCUUCGGUUUAAAAGCAUACAUAUAUAUGCACCGUUCUUUCAUUACUUUCUCCAGCUCCUGGAGGAGAAGACACGACCCAUAGCAUCACUUGCGUAUAACAAACUGUCAAACAACCAAACAGGCACGCAUCAGCAGUGAGAUACUCAGGUCAUAUGUACCCAUGAUGCCGUCUCGCAAAAAAAAUGUACCGAUGAUGUCAUAAUACUACAUCUAGAUAUAUAUACUCCCUCUACUCUAACUUGUAAGUAUUUUUCUAGCUUUUUUAAAUAUAUAAUUUUUGUUAUGCGGACGAGCCAAUAGCUCGGUUGGUAAAGCAUCCCCAUUGUGCAAUGAUGUAGGUCAGGAGUUCGACUCCCCACCUCCAUAUACGCAGGUUUGCUAGUUGUAAAUAAAAUUUUUCGUUUGUCCCAUGUCAAAGCACAGGUCUAAGGUUAGCCCUAGUCUUACGUGUGUUGCGGUACCGCUACGUAUGGGUAGGGCAGAGGUUCAAGUUUUUCUUGACCUAUAUGAAAAAAGUCUUCUUCUUAAUCACAAUGUCUGACCUACACACAAAGAUCCUAAGCACAGUGCCCCCGGUGUUGACACUCAAAAGUGUCCCAACAUGAAAUAUGGGCAUAACCAACACGUUUCUGACAUCCCAGAGGUGUUGGAAAUAGUUGGUGAAGUAAUCAAACAAAAAAGGAAGAAAGUGGCGUCUGCCUUGGCAGAGCCGACUUGGCUGACUUUGCAUAGUCGAUAAAACUAGUUCUUCAUGCCCCAAUUCGCUUAGCCGACUCCUAAGUCGGCUAAGCCGACUUUCCUCUAUGUCGGCCAAGCCACAAUGCUCAAACCUCGUGAAAAUCGGCUCAGCCGACUCCCAAGUCGGCUAAAGCCGGCUUUCAUUGGUAUUCCGAGUCAGUUUGGUUUCCGAAACAGUUUUGGACCCAUUUUAAACAGGGAAUUUGGAGAAUGUGUUUUGGAAUUGUUUCCUAGUAAGAUAAAACCACGCCGUCUCUAUAUACGAAAGGAUCAUGGUCGAUUAAGGAUCCCAACUUACAAUCAUCAAAAUACAUCUAUUACAGGCCUUUUACCCUCUUUUCUCCCUAUUCGUCAGUUCGUCACGUCUCCUAGCGAGAUUUAAUGGCGUUCGAGGCACCCUUGCUAGUCUUAGGAAACCCUCCGUGUGCUCCUCCUCGACGGAUCUUCCCAAGAGAUGCUCAAAAUUCUAACAGGUGAAAAACAGGCUCGACAUUGGCCUAACCGAUCUCUAGAUUGGUGUCUCGGUUCGCUGCAUUCUUGCUGUGAUCAAGGUCAUGUGUUUACCGUAGAUAUGCUAACCGUAGCUGGUGUGCGAUCCGAAACACUAUCCAACAUCAUUGCACCAACACCCAGGGGCCGUCGUAAUCCCUGCAGGUCGAGCUUUUUUUUGAGGGGGAGGGGGAGAGGGGAUGGACUUAGAUAUAUAUAUAUAUAUAUAUAUAUAUAUAUAUAUAUAUAUAUAUAUAUAUAUAUAUAUAUAUAUAUAUAUAUAUAUAUAUAUAUAUAUAUAAGUUAAAACAAGUUAUAAUUAGAAGGAAGGGAUAUAAAAAACUAUUCAAUCAUCUGUUCUGGUCGUCAGAGCUAAUCGCACUUACCAGUCCAUGACUCGCCUGUCAAACGACGAUGUUUAUAGCUGCUGCUUUUUUCGUCGGGAUUAAUGAACUGAUAGCGAAUGUGAACUGUGUGAUCUCCAUCCUACGGGGGUUAGCAGUAGCACUUACGUGCGCGUGUGACAAACGAAGCUGACAGCAUUCUGCGUGUGAGAUGUGGUACAGAUAGAGAGUAUAUAACUCUAAGCAUGUCACGAUUUAGUGUGUUCGGUGAAUUUUGCGUCAAAUUAAACGACCCAUACUUAGCUAUCAACAUUCUGCGUGUGAGAUGUGAUACAUAGAGUUAGAUAGCUACAGUACGUAAUUUUCUCUUGGUCUACGAGGAACUAUAUAUAUAGACGUACGUAGCACGCAUAGUUUUUUGAAACGAUUUUUUGUUUUUUUGAAACACGAGUAGCACGCAUAGUUGGCAACGAACCAAACAUCGACACGACACAUGUAGCAGUAGCACGUAAUAAACAGCCAAAUGAAACAUCAGUCUAGUAGCCGAUCAUAGCUCACACGUUCUAUAUAUAGCCACUCGAUCGGUAAACCAUGGCACGGCACCGAUCGCAGCUCACAAAGUUCACACACUUCACAGCACGCUCACCACUGAGCAGCACCUAGCGCCAUGUUGAGCGCCACCAUGCCACGAGGUUUCGCCGCGCUUCGCGCGCCGCCAUGCUGCAGCCUCCAGACGACGCUGAGGUGCAAGGCUACCGGCGGCGCCGACCGCCGUGACGUGCUCCUCGGCCUCGGCGGCGCGGCAGCGGCCGGCCUCCUCACGUCGUCGUCCAGCCGCGGCGGUGCGAUCGCGGCGCCGAUCCAGGCGCCGGACCUCCGGGACUGCCACCCGCCCGACCUCCCCGACACGGUGGGCGACGUCAACUGCUGCCCGCCGGGCGCGGGGACGGCGAUCGUCGACUUCACGCUGCCGCCGGCGGUCGGGCUCCGCGUUCGCCCGGCCGCGCACCUGGUGGACGAGGAGUACCUGGCCAAGUACGAGAAGGCCGUGGCGCUGAUGAAGGAACUGCCGGACGACGACCCGCGCAGCUUCGCGCAGCAGUGGCGCGUGCACUGCGCCAACUGCGACGGCGCGUUCGACCAGGUCGGGUUCCCGGACCUGGAGAUCCAGAUACACAACUGCUGGCUCUUCUUCCCGUGGCACAGGUGACGACGACGGAUCCAUGCAUGCUGGCGUACGUGUAGGGUGUCACAUGUGAACUAAGGCUCGUGUAUGCUUUAGCGAUUAAUAAUUAAUUAACGUGCAACUUUUGUUCUGAAGUUCAACGUCUAUUGCACUGCUUAAUUAGUUCUCUUUCACAAAUUGGACAACGCGUGCAGGUUCUACCUGUACUUCCACGAAAGGAUUCUUGGGAAGCUCAUCGGCGACGACAAGUUUGCACUGCCGUUCUGGAACUGGGACGCGCCCGGCGGCAUGUCGAUGCCGGCGAUCUACGCCAACAAGACCUCCCCGCUGUACGACGAAAGGCGUGACCCUGCUCACCAGCCGCCAUUCACGCUGGACCUCGACUACGACGGGACCGAGCCAACCAUACCAAGACAUCAGCAGAUCGAUCAGAACCUAAUGAUUAUGUACCGUCAGGUCAGUGUUAGUAUAGUCUUGUUGUACGCAAUAUUACAACCUCAGUUCUUGGAAGACCGCACUAACAUUGAACACUCAGUUCUUCGACGUAAUUGAACACUUCAUCACUGAUUAGCAUACGGAUGGAUACACAUGUAUGUCUCUUAUAUACGCCAGAUGAUCUCCGGUGCCAAGAAGAAGGAGCUCUUCUUUGGGCUUCCUUACCACCAGGGCGACCAGCCAGACCCCGGCGCAGGCAGCGUCGAGCUCAUCCCGCACAACACAGUACACUUCUGGAGCGGCGAUCCGAGGCAGCCCAACGGAGAGGACAUGGGCAACUUCUACUCCGCCGCGCGCGAUCCGCUCUUCUUCGCGCACCACGGCAACAUCGACCGCCUGUGGUCGGUCUGGAACGGCCUCCGCGCCGGCAACACCAACUUCACCGACCCCGACUGGCUGAACGCCAGCUUCCUUUUCUACGACGAGGAGGCCCGCCUCGUGCGCGUCCGCGUCCGCGACUGCCUCGACACGGCCGCCCUGGGAUACACCUACCAGGACGUCGCCCUGCCGUGGCUGAACGCCAAGCCGACCACGGAGACCGGGUCUCCGGCGCCCGCCGCGGGCGCGCUCCCGGCGACCCUGAACCGGACCGUGAGGGUGGCCGUGACGCGGCCCAGGACCUCGAGGACCCGCCAGGAGAAGGACGCGGAGGAGGAGGUGCUGGUCGUCGAGGGGAUCGAGGUCGCCGACCACUUCAGCAGGUUCGUCAAGUUCGACUUGUUCGUGAA
rnacentral:lncRNA from 1 species